rnacentral:lncRNA from 1 species
UUCUUUUAAGGAUUCCAAUUUGGAAAAAGAAUUGAUAGUAUCUAUUUCUGUUGUAUCAGUUAUCGUUUCAACGAUCAACUUCUCCCAUAAUGAUAUCUAUGCUACCUAGUAUAUUCAUAAUAUCAGCCAAUUUCAUUCUUUUAACUAACUGAGGAAGAAUUUGCAAAUUGAUAAAACCUGGUGGGCGAAUUUUCCAUCUCCAAGGAAAAACGCUCUGAUCUCGUAUGAGAAAAAUUCCCAAUUCUCCUUUUGGGGCUUCAACUCUCACAUAAAGUUCUUGUUUCGACAAUUCAAAAGUUGGAGAAUGUAUCGGACAUUUUCAAAGCCUUUCUCGUUCUAGGAUUCAUCUGAGACCCUAACUAUCGAGGUUCUUCUCCGAUUAUCUCCAGAUCCAUGUGUAUUCAUGCUUUAUCUUGAGUUAUUAAGAGGUUUACCCAAAUUUUCUUUUUUAAAAGAAAAAACCACCUCUUUUUUAGUUUAGGGUUUUCUGAAAAAUGCUUCAGUAUUUUCCAACUUUUCUUCUUCCUUUCUUAUGUAUGUUUAUAUUCUUAUGUGUUUCUAUAUACAUGUUCUCCUAUAAUGUUUUCAAUAUUUUUAAUUCUUCUUUCUACUAUUUUUUCACAUGCUAUUCCAUGUUACUAUGCUAUGUUCUGCUACAUGCCUUCCGCUAUGGCCUGAUAUAAUUUGUCUACUGCAUUUUUCCACCAUGUUCUUUGAGUGUUCUUAUUCACCUGCUCAAGCAUAUUUUUCUCUAUUGUUUCUUCUACUGUCAUUCUGUUUUGAACUCUGUUUGCAUUAGACCUCCUACUGUAUCUGCUUGUUUCCUCUUCUUUGCAUUUUACUCAAGUCGAAAACUCUAGGAUUAGGGGUUUUUGGAAAGUCUGGUCUUGUGUGUUUGUAAUAGGGUUCUAUUUGUGCCCUGGACUUUCUCAAACUCACUUUAGACCCAUGUACAGAGUCUGAAUCCUUUUUCUAUAUGAUUUCUUCUAUACUAGACUCCUCUGAUUAGCAUAACAACCCCUUUAUAUGUGUUAAAGUCUUUCUUAUGUUCGAAUCAUAAUCUUUUUUAGGGGUUAAUUGGUUGCUACUGAUUCUUCUUAAGUAAAACCCUUUCCUUAGCCUUUCUGACUUGGUUAUUCAUGAACCAAUAGUUGCAAAUCUCUUAUUCCUUGAUUUACUGGGUACUGAUUGAUUCUUACCUUAUUUAUUUACCCGUGUAUUUAAAAAUUUCUUCCCCUAAUUGAACUCAUGUGUGUUAACCAUUAGUACUACUUUGCACAAGAUGCUUACUUGAUCUCUUUCUUAAAUACUUUUGCUCAUUACCAUUUAAGUUGAACUCCUUAAUUAAAGGAAUUUCUGCUACUACUUAAUUCUAAUCGGUACAUGGUUAUUUCCUUGCCUUAUUCCCUCCCUUAUUUCAUACUAUAAGUACCUGCUCUUUUAUUAACACAAGCACACAAAUACUCUUAGUUUUCUAAACUCAAACUUACACUCAAAAAGUAUUCUCUCUUGUUGCUUGUACUGUGUCCUGUUUGCAAGAGUUCUGCUUUCUUUUGCUUGUUUCUUUCUGAAACUAGUAUGUUCUAGUUUUAAUUCCAACAUCUACUCUAAUGUGUUUACUUACCAGUUCUCUGUUUAUGCUUACUUUACUGCCUACAGAAUUUAACCUAUGUGUAAUGUGCUUAUAUCCUGCUUGUGUCUUGCAAUAAAUCCCAUUCCCCUAUGUGUUUAAGCUACAGCUUAAAAACAUGGCGACAUACAUAGGUAUUGUCCAUGGAUAUAAAAUGGACCCUUUGGAACCUAAGCUCUUUCUAUUUCACAUCCCAUUCCCAUAUGUGUGUUUGAGUUAAGGUUUAGCCUGGAAGCAUCCAAGUUGUUGUCCCAGGCUGAACCUGACCUUUAAUAGGUCCUAACUCUCUAAAGUAUUAGCAACCAGGCUGGUCAGGGGUGUACCAACACUCCAUGUUGCUGGGCAUGACCACCAACCUGCUUUGGCAAUCCCUAAUUCCCUCUGUUGCACUUACACUUACUCCUAAGUUCUUCCCCCCCCCCCCCCCNNNNNNNNNNNNNNNNNNNNNNNNNNNNNNNNNNNNNNNNNNNNNNNNNNNNNNNNNNNNNNNNNNNNNNNNNNNNNNNNNNNNNNNNNNNNNNNNNNNNNNNNNNNNNNNNNNNNNNNNNNNNNNNNNNNNNNNNNNNNNNNNNNNNNNNNNNNNNNNNNNNNNNNNNNNNNNNNNNNNNNNNNNNNNNNNNNNNNNNNNNNNNNNNNNNNNNNNNNNNNNNNNNNNNNNNNNNNNNNNNNNNNNNNNNNNNNNNNNNNNNNNNNNNNNNNNNNNNNNNNNNNNNNNNNNNNNNNNNNNNNNNNNNNNNNNNNNNNNNNNNNNNNNNNNNNNNNNNNNNNNNNNNCCCCCCAAUGAGCCUUGCCUUGGGACCUUGAGUUCCCUAUAAACUUGGACAUUGGAGGUCUGUCCCUUCCACACUGCACUUUAAUUUAGUUCUGUUAUGAUACCUGGGUGUAAACAUUUCCUGGAGUUCUUGAAACUCCUUGGAACUCUGACACACGUCCAUAUAAGAGAGAUGCUUUGGAACUUGAUCCCCAAAGUUGGUCCAUCUCAUAUUGUUAGACCUUGAGUCUGAAUUAGGCUCCUUGGAUGUAGCUUAAAAUUCUAAUGUAAUUUCAUUUUCUGUUUGGUUCACUUGGUCUAUAAUAAAUUUGUAAUAACUUAAGGGGUUUUAGUAAAGAAAUGGGAGGGUCAUUUAUGUAUGCAUAUGGGUAGACAUCAUUGCCUUAGGUGUGUUAUUCCUGUAUACACAGCCUGUUUCUGCACUUCCGCAUUCCAUCUAGAAAUCCUAACUAUAGGACUAUAUUUCUGCACUUCAUUUGGAAAUCUUGACUACAAGAUUAUGCAUUUUCUGCGCUUCUGCAUUUCAUCUAGAAAUCAUGACUAUAGGAUUCUGCACUUAUGCAUAUGUAGAAAUCCUGACUAUAGGAUUCUGCAUUUCUGCACUUCAUAUAGAGAUCUUGACUGUAGGAUUCUGAACUUAUGCAUAUGUAGAAACCAUGUCCUUAAGGCUCUGCAUUUUGCAUCUGUCAUCAGGUAAGAAAUUAUAGGUCAAAUAAUAAUCAAUUGCAUUCUAGAGACCAUGCUCGUAGGAUUUCUGCACUCUUACUACUCCCGUAAAAAUGUUUAAAAUUAACAAUGCUAAAAAGCAUGCUUGUAGGAACUAUCAACCAAAUCUGAAUCACUCGUUUUAAGUUUAAUCUAUCAGUACUACUGUAUUAUCAACUGCAGAACUUGUAUUUUAAAAACUAGCAACUUUCUAUAAUCAGUUUAUUUCAUUAUUUCUGAAACCACUAGAUAUCAUGCCUUUAGGUUUCAUCUAGGCAAGCCUUAGGCUAAAAGUUAUAAUUGCAUCAGUCUUCAAUAAUUACUACCAAGCGGGCCUAAUACAGACUCCUUAUCUGAAAAUAUGUGAUGAACCAGCCCGCUUAACAUUCAAGUUUAAUUUAUACCUAAUCAGUAUAUGUAAGGCAUGCUAAACUACAUGUUUUCUGUGAUUUGAGGAGGCUUAUUUGAGCCUUUAGCUGUUGUAUGCACCCCAUAGCUGUCUUAUAUGUGUUUUCCUGAUGCCUUAGAGUUUUAACCUUUUUAAACUCCUGAAAAGCCCAAAAUUCCUUUCCUUGAUAGGACUAGAAGUCUCAGAUGCCUCCGGGUCUGACAGGAUUGGGGCGGGUAGUAGCAUGCAGUAAGUAAUGACACUAUUCCGCAUUUUAAUACCUUAAAGGGGUUUGAAGGUUAGAAUAUGGAUAUGAUGAUCGAUGCGCUAAUAUCACGUGUGACCCCUCUUCGGAGGAGUGAUUGUUGGAUAUUGCAUUGAUGUGAUCCAUAUGAAUCAUAAAACUAGGACCCCUCUUCCUUUAUUUGCUUUCAUCUUUUCUUACUCAUUAAAUCUUUCUACUUUAUAAAAUUAUGUCCUCCCCAUUUAUCUUUCAAAUUUUCAACUUAUUCCGACAUUAUGUGUAAAUACUAUUUGAGACUUAAAUGUUUAUGUGCUUAUGUAAAAUCACAAUUGUAACAUGACCGGGACCACACUAGUGGAUCUUGAGGGGUGACUAACACCUUCUCCUCGGGAUAAUUUCAAGCCCUUACCCUAAUAUCUGGUUUCUUCAUCUCAAACCCUUCUCAAAAGUGCCCUAAUGCACUACAAUAAUUAGGUGGCGACUCUUCAACACCAAAACCCAAUUCUCGAAAGGGAAUAGAGUUGUCCUCCCAAAUUCCGUAUACUCAUUCGCCUUAGAAAAAGGGGGCGUCGACAGGGAGUAAUGUGAGUACCCCAAUCAGUAAGUAGUAAAAGUAUAAGCAGCUGAGCAAUAAAAAAAUAGGUAAUUCCACGUCAUAACACUACAGCAAAACAGUAUAUGUCUAGAACAAUACAGAAAAUUGAUUAACUCGGAAAAAAGACUCAGUUUCAAUAAAACCAUUUUAAAACUUCUUUCAAUAGUUUUGAAAGAGUGGUGAAACAAUGAGUAAAAAUGAUAGAAAUGUAAACAGCCCCUAGGGCAUACAUGUACCAUUAACCGCCCUUCGGGCGAAAUAUCAAUAGAACGAGCCCUUGGGCUACCUCACAAUCACUCGUAAUCAGCCCAUCGGGCAACAAUAUGAAUCAACAGCAGCCAUUCGGGCUACAUCACAUCACUCACACUAGGUACACGCACUCAGUGGGGGUGUUCAGACUCCGGAGGAGUUCUUACAGCCCAAGCACUGUCACAAGCCAUCUCGUGGCAUAACAAAUCAGGCCCUCAGCCUCAAGUAUAUCACAAAUCAGUACAACAUGCUACGACUCGCAAACCGAUCCUCAUAGUAUCCUCACAACACAAGCCCUUGGCCUCACUCAGUCAAAAACCUCUUAAGCCACUCAGACAACAAUAAAAAAGGAUGCUCAGCCCAAACCUCGUUUUAAAUAUAAAAACAAAGUAAAUAUGGCUAGUUUGUGAAAUCAGUAAAAUACAGCAUGACUGAGUAUAGAUAUUAAGUCAAAACUGUGAGGAUUAGCAGUAAAAAGCCCUUAAUAUAAGCUAAAGGAACAAAUCCCACGUGAAAAUAAUCAAAUUACAUCAAAAAUCCCAAAUUGGACAAACUCGACCCCCAUGCCCAUGUCUCGGAAUCCGAUAAAAUUACAUCACAAGAAUCCUUAUCCUCCCACGAGUCUAUACAUACCAAGAACAUCAAAACCUGACCUCAAAUGUCCCCUCAAAUCCCCAAUCAAAGAUCUCCAAUUACAAGCCCUGAUUCUCUAAUUUUAGCCCUUACAUCCCACUAAUGUCUAAUUAGUUAGAAAUUACCAUAGAAUCAAGUAUUGAGUUCAAAAAUCUUACCUCCAAGUGAUACCCCUUGAAUCCCUCUUCAAAUUCUCUCAAAAAGCUCCAAACCUAUCUUACAAAUGGAGGAAAUAAGUUGAAAAUCGUGAAGGAAUGCCUAUAUAGUUUCUGUCCAGGCAUUUCUGCACCUACGGACCAGAACACGCACAUGCACAACCCCAUAUACGGUCCAACAGGUUGCACCUACGAAAGUCACUUAUUCGCCAAAAACCACAUUUGCGGUUAAUUACUGGCACGUGCAACCUCGCAGGUACGCUCACCUCACCGCAUCUGUGGCUCCUGCGCUUCUCAACCUUGGUUGCAGCUGCGACCUUUUCUUUGCUUCUGUGGGCCUGCACCUGCGGUCCCCAAUCCGCAGGUGCGAUUCUAACAGGAAUAGCAGCUAAUGCUGCUCAAACUCAAUUCAAUUCUUUCCAACAAGCUUCCAAAAUUAUCCUAAGGCCCCCGGGACCUCAACCAAUAAUAUGAACUAGUCACAUAUCACCAUUCAAAUUCAUACCAACCACUUAAAACAACAUCGAAACACCAAAUCAUCCUCAUAUUCAAGCUUAAGGAUUUUCAAACUUCUGAAUUCCACAAUAGAUCCAAAAACCUAUCAAUCCUUAUCCAAAUAACCUGAAAUUUUGUACACACAUCCCAAGUGACACAAUGGACCUACUUCAAAUUCUAGAAUUCAAAUUUCUAGAAUUUCAAUCCGACCCGAUAUCAAAUUUCCACUAUCAGUCCCAAAUCACCUCACAAAGCUAUCUGAACCAUAAAAACCAAGUUUCGUGAUAAUUUACUCACAAGUCAACUUCCGGUUGACUCUUCCAACUAAAGCUUCCCAAAAAAAGACUCAGUGUCUCAUUUCUUUGCAAAACCACUUUGAACCCAAACCAACCAAUGCGAUACGAUGAAAUAUAGUUGAAAAACACAUAAAGAAGUAGAAAGAGGAAAGCGAACCAUUGACUCAUGAAACUACCAAUUGGGUCGUUACAUCCUCCCCCUCUUAAAAAAAUGUUUGUCCUCGAACGAGUUAAUAAACAUACAUGAAGCCUCAAAUAGAUGAGGAAAUCUGCUCCGCAUCUCCCGCUCGGUAUCCCCGGUAGCUUCCUCCACGGGCUGACCUCUCCACUGCACUUUUGUUGAAGCUAUAUUCUUUGAUCUCAACAUUCGAACCUGACACUCCAAAAUAGCCACUAACUCCACAUCAUGAGUCAAAUCAUUAUCUAACUGAACCGUGCUGAAAUCCAAAACAUGGGACGAAUUGCCAAUAUACUUUUGGAGCAUAGAUAUACGAAUUAUCAGAUGCACACUCGACAAGCUAGAUGACAAAGCCAGAUCAUGAGCCACCUCCCCAAUUCUCAAAAGCGCCUCAAAAGGUCUAAUCAACCUACGACUCAAUUUACCCUUCUUUCCAAAUCUCAUAACACCCUUCAUAGGUGAAACCUUCAAUAGAACCUUCUCCCUAUCCAUGUUGGACACAUCACAAACCUUCCUGUCAGCAUUACUCUUUUAUCUUGACUGGGUGUACGAAACCUCUCCUGAAUCACCUUCACCUUGUCCAAAGAAUCUGCACCAAGUUUGUAUCCAAAAAUCUAGCCUCACCCGACUCAAACCGACCAAUUGGAUAUCUACAUCGUCUCCCAUAUAAUGCCCCAUACAUAGCCAUCUGAAUACUCGAAUGAUAAAUGUUUUUAUAUGUAAACUCCACGAGCAGUAGAAAAUGAUCCCACGAACCCCCAAAAUCAAUGACACAAGUGCGCAACAUGUCCUCCAAUAUUUGAAUAGUGCACUCGAACUGCCCGUUCGUCUGAGAGUGAAAAGUUGUGCUGAACAUAACCUGAGUACCCAACUCUCGCUGCACCACCCUCCAAAACUGCAAAGUAAACUGAGUACUUCUACCUAAAAUGAUGGAAACGGGGACACUAUGCAAGCGAACAAUAUCUCGGAUAUAAAUCUUCACCGACCACUCUGAACAAUAAGUAGUGCACACAAGAAUGAAGUGUGUGGACUUGGUCAGCCAAUCCACAAUCACCCAAAUAGAAUCGAACUUCAUCAAAGUUCGUGGGAGACCAACUAAAAAGUCCAUGGUGAUCUGCUCCCACUUUUUUUUAUGACUGACCUUUUCUUUUAACAUAGAAGUACUUUGAUACUCCCAAAGUUCCUUUUAAUAUCUCAGUAAUUAUAAAUAACAGGUCACACACAGACGUUGUAAAUUGCACCCACUCCUGAGUGACUUUUGCUCCUAUUGAGUCUGCAUCCUCGAUUCUUUCCUCAUGUUUAUUGUUAAAACUAGAGGUGUGCACGCUUUUUGUUAAAAUUCUGAUCUUGUAAAGCAUGAGCAAGAAAACAUGUGAUGGCUUGUGAUAUUGCCUAUUUUUAAAUCCCUUCCAUUGGAAUGAAUGCAAAGCAUCAAUACCACCAAUUGAAAUUUCAUUAAAAAAUAGACAAAGAUGACAUACCAACAUAUUAAAUUCCCAUAUAGCUCCUGCCAAAAAUAAUACCACCAAUUGAAAUUUCAUUAAAAAUGUGAUGGCUUGUGAUAUUGCCUAUUUUUAAAUCCCUUCCAUUGGAAUGAAUGCAAAGCAUUAAUACCACCAAUUGAAAUUUCAUUAAAAAUAGACAAAGAUGACAUGCCAACAUUUAAAAUUCCCAUAUAGCUCCUGAAUUUUCCAUAUGGGAUUCUGAGCAAAGCCCAGUAACUAGGCGUGAAUUAACUCUAAAAUGGCAUGCUUGAUUUAAAAAAUUAAAAUUCUGCUUAGGCCUUCCCAACAUUUCCUCGAUGACACGCAUUCUCCUCCAUGCUUGUUGUAAUUCUCAGGCGUGUGUAACAGUGUCUAAUGCUGCUUGCAAGUGUAGCUGCAUUAGAAUAAAAACUCCAAGGCAGAUGUUGCUGCUUGAAGAUUGUGCUUCAGUAGUCCUAAAGAGGAGAGGCAUGCCUUUGAUGAACUUAUGUGGUUUAAUUCCCACGCUACACCGCUCCAUUGAAUCAGGCAAGCUUAAUGAAUCAUGUUUCCAAUGCAUCAUUAAACAAUUCAGAAAUAGCAUGAACCAUUGAAAUCCCUCGAGCAAUGCAGAGAUGCAAGAUUUCUUUAUUGGACAUGAGAUAAUGGGAAAAAAUAAAGAAUUCCCAAUAUUCCUUGGUCUUUACACCCACGCUUGUAUUGCUUUUGUUUCUCUCGAGUGCUGUCCUCAAUUCCAUUCCCCUUUAGUUGGCUGUGUAACUCCUUGUCUACCCAUGAGAUCCUCAUUAAUACAUCGAACAACAUUAUAGCCAAGAACUAUUGUCAGUUUUGAUUCCUUUUCUCCAUUAUGAAACCUGCAUUCCACCGAUGUGCAUGUAAGUGGCGAUGUAAACUCUGCAUAGAAUUUUUGUUUGCUGAUUGUUUCUUCUCUGUUGAGUAAUCUUGAUGAAGUAGACAUGUUAUCUUGUUUGUUGUCGCUUCCAUGGUUUGUACCUCUGUACCUCUGCAAGUUACUUCCAUUGGAAUGAAUGCAUUGCAUUAAUACCACCACUGGCGAUUUCUUGACAACAAACAACGGCAGUAGAAAUUUAGUACCUGCCAAAACAUAACAAAUGUUAAUGAAAAAUGCAAUCUCUGUGUUCUCCUCUGGUCGAUCAUGGUGACUACAUGUUGUAUUAAUGUUGAUUGCAUUUGUUUCUUCCCUUUCCUUCUCUAAUUUUUGCAACUCUUAUUCUCAGGUUUGGACAUUGUAACUUAUCCUCAUUUACCAACCUUCAGCUCGACGCAUCAAGUUCCCGGAAAUCAUAACUCUCUAUGUUGCCACUGUCAAGUGCAUAAUUUGCAAGGUAGUCUGCUAGUUUGUUUCCCUCUCUAAAAAUGUGAGAUAUAUUGAAAUUACACCCCACUUUGAGUCUGUUGAUUUCCUCCACUGAAUACACAAUAUUCCAGGGUGGUUUCCAUUGUCCAUCUAUGAUCUUUUAAAGAAUCACUGAAUCUGUCUGAAGCCAAACAUUGUGGAGGUUCAUUGUUUUGCACAUUCUCAUUGCCUCUACUAUUACUGUCGACUCAGCUUCAUUGUUAGAACCCUUCUUAAUUUAUCUUCCUUCUGUAUAUAUCAAAUCACCUAUCUCAUCUCUCAAACAAAAACCAAUUGAACUCCUCCCUAGGUUCCCUCUGCAUGCUCCAUCAGUAUUCACUUUGAUACAGCAUGUUGGAGGAAAUUCCCGUAGCACUUUAUCAUAUUUCAAUCGAGGUGUGUAUUGCUCCAUCAUUGUCAUCAAGUCCAGCCACUUUUGAGGCACAUGUAGUCCUGCUUUUUUCAAUUGGACUAGAGCUUGUUGCAUAGAUGACACCUGGAAAAUAACUAUUCUUACUGACACUGCUUCUCCAUAUUUCAAAAUGUUUCUUCUAUUCCAUAACUCCCACUCAAUGCAUGCAGGUAAAGCUUGCAAGACUAGCUUCAAUCGAUGAACAACUGAUGAUGUCCAACACUUUGUAAUUGCUUGUUGUAAAGACAAACCUUCUAAUACAGUUCAUGCUCUCCUCGGGAAGUAACUCCAAACACUCCUAGUUGCAUUGGAUGUGAAGAAUAAAUGAAAUAAAGACUCCUCCUUAGGAUUAGCACAUCACCAACAUUUAGCUUCCAUGGAGUAUCCUAUUCUACGCAAGAAAUCAUCAAGUGGAAGUUUGGCUUUCCACACCUUCCACAUGAAGAAGGAUAUCUUGAAUGGUAAUCCUUAGGUGCGAUUCUAACAGGAAUAGCAGCUAAACGCAAGAAAUCAUCAAGUGGAAGUUUGGCUUUCCACACCUUCCACAUGAAGAAGGAUAUCUUGAAUGGUAAUCCUUUGACCCAUAUCAUCUUGUAAGCUAGCCUUGGAAUGUCUCUUCUUCGCAGAUAAUCCCAUGCAGAUUUCACUGAAAAAUGUCCCCUUGUUUCAAGCAUCCAAAAUGGUGUGUCUAACUCUGCACAUUCCUUUGGUGGUGUAAUAUUCUGCACAAUGGGGUUUUCCAAAUCUUCAGGUAGAGUUUGAAAUAACUUUUCCAAAUUUCACAUACCAUUUUCAACCAUAUCAUUGACAUUGUGAAUGUCUUCAUCAACGACAAACUGUGUAGGAAGUUGGAAAUAUAAGGCUCCCAUCUCGGUCCAUUUGUCGAACCAAAAAUGAGCCGAUCCCAUUCUCAAUUUCCAGAAGAUUUGAUGCUCAAUUAAGUACCUCCAUUUAAGCAUUUUUGCGGAAAAGUGCCUUGGAUACAUCAUGAAGGGAUCUGAAACCUAUACCCCAUCCUCAUAAAGCAUACACAGGUUAGUCCAUGAUGACCAAUGUCUUGAGCUUCCUCCCACAUUGCUGCUCCAGAAACUUUUGCAAAAAUGCUUUAUAAUUUGGUGAUGACAUAGCUUGGAGGAUUAACUGCUGACAGCAUAUGAAUUGGGAUACUUUGCAGAACAUAAAUUAACUUCUGACAACAUAUGAAUUGGGAUAGUCUGCAGGACAUUUGCGAUCAAUAUAGCCUUACCUCCUACAGAUAGGAGUUUGUCUUUCCACGACUGCAGUUUGUCCAUAACCAUAGUAAUUAGUCCCUGGUAAUAAUCACUCCUUCUUCUUGCAUAAAAUAAUAGGACGUCCAAGAUAGGUCAUAGGGAAACAUUGUCUUCCUAUACCAGUAAUUCUUUCCACCCUGUUAAUCACGUCAUUAUCCAUUAAAUGAUGCAGAUAUAUGACUGAUUUGGCUUUGUUCACCAGUUGACCAGAUGAUGAUUCAUAAGCCUGCACAACCUCCAUCACAAGUGACAAUGAAGUUGCAUCAGAUGAGCAGAUAAUGAUUGUAUCAUCUGCGUAUGCAAGAUGGUUUAUUUUUGGGCUCCAUUUUGGUAGUCCAAAUCCACGAAAAUACAGGUUAGUAUGCAGUAAGUUCAAACCUCGAGAAAGUGCUCCUGCUACUAGAAUGAAUAGCGUUUGUGACAGAGGGUCUCCCUGUCUAGCUUAAUCACAAUGUUUGGACUUGGUUUUGUUCUUAACCUUAUAUCUUUAAUGAUUUUUUGAGUUAGGAGUACAUUCUCAACAAUGCUUCUUCCCUUCACAAAACCUGCCUGUUCCUUUGAGAUUAUGGUCGGUAAAAAUUCAACCAACCUUUCAGGAAUGGGCGUCGUGCCAACAAUGUGAACCCUUCGGGGAUUGGUAUCACUUUUUUCAUUACUUGUAUAUUAUUUGAAUCUCGCUCCAAGGUUAUAAUACAGUUUUGCAAACUCAACCAUUUUUCUAAGACUUGAAAACUAAAACAACAUUUUAUUGACGUUUUGAGCUGAGGAUAAUUAUGUUAAUAUUACCCAAAUGGCUUACAUGCAUUUUUGGAAUGACCAUGGACCUAGCUGCGCACUGCGGUAGUGUCAUAGUGAUUUAUGAAUAUGUGGGUGACUCGAGCUGCGCGCCGCAACGAUGAUAUAUAUAUUGAUAUUGAGGCCAAGAGCUUGUUUAUGCCAAUACCUAGCUGAUAUUGCACUUAAGCUGUAAGAGCCCCUCCAGAGUCUGUACACACCCCCAGUGAGCUAUGUCGACGUUAACGAGAUCGGACUGCACGCCGCAGUGGGUACCGGGGUGUACCAUCAUAUGCAUUGCAUUGGAUUCAAACAUUUGUGCACUAUUUGUUGUUUGUGUCAUUUAUUGAGAUAUUUAUUUGUUGUUCUGAUAUUGUUUGAUCACAUUCAAAGUUGAUAAAUUUGAGAUAGUGGUAACAGUAACACUAUAUGAUGUAAAUGGGUCAGGGAACAGUGGCUGACUAGAGAUAAGAAUAUUUCCUGAAGGGCAAGUUAUGAGCUCAAAUAGGCAUACUUGCUUGUGCCCGAGAGACUGACUUUUGUGCUAACUUGCACUACCUGUCUUGCAUUUACUUGCUUAAAUUGUUGGAAAAUGAUAUUUUCAAAAUGGUUUUAAACCGAGUCAUAUAUUUUAUAAAGUAUUUUCCUGGACUUAAUGUUUUCUCAAAGGGUUGUACUCUUUUAUAUAUCAUGAUGGAGUGCCUUGUGUGAUUUCUCGCCUUCAGCUAUUAUUUACUUUUAUUACUCACUGAGUUGGAGUACUCACUUUACUACCUGCACCUCGCGUGCAGUUGCAGCUAUUGUUUGCCCGGUAACGGGUUAUUAGCAGAUUGAAGAUUUGUUAUCGUAGCCGAGCCAGGUGACCGCUAACAUCCGCGACAUCGGAUCUUCUCCCUUAUUUUAGGUUGUCCAUAAUAUUUUCAAACUUUGUUCCUAUAUCCGGACUUGUAGUACUUUAGUGAACUCUGUAGUAGCUCAUGACUGGUGAAACCCUGAUAUCGGGCUGUGUGGGCUAUAUUCCACGAAAUUGUUAUUUAUUUUCUUGAAAACUGUUUAUUCAUGUUAAUUUAUUGUUGAAAAAGGAUGUUUAAAUGGCUUGACUAGCAUUGUUUUCACGAGAGGUACCAUCAUGACCGGGGCGGGGUUUGGGUCGUGACAAAAAUUGUUGGUUUAUUUGGUUGCAACUUGCUGUGUGAUUCAUGUUAAGGGAAAUUUGAUUAAGUAAUCAAAAAAGAAAAAUUGAACCAUAUGAAAAACAACACAAUUCAUUUAAUAAUGAGUUUGAUGUUUAGCUUAAAGUAUAUAUAUUCCUAUGUAUAUCGCCCUAUAUUUUAUUUUUGUUUCAUAAUUUUGGUAUGUUAAAUGCUAUGAUUUAUAAUAAUUUGAAGUAUUUUUACUUGUAGGAAUGAUUCGGGAGUAAUUGGGGACGAAGCGCACAAGAUUAAGCCAAUAUGAACAAAACUGAUAAAAAAAUUCUUUGGGAGCCACAGGCAGCGUCUGGCGCCACCGAUGCCGCUGGAAACAUAACUGAAAAGAUGGAUAGCGCCCUAGUGACUGCCUGUCGCUGGGCUAGGCGCGUUGACAAGGUUUUCAUCCUAUUUUGUCGGGGACACAGAGCGGGUCGAGUCUGUAUCGCCGCGGAGCAACAGCCGCGUCCGGAUCUGAUCUAUUUACUCGGCAAUUCAUCCGGUGACUUCACGGUCGCCAAAGAAGCCCCAAGAAGCAUCAAACAUUUCCGAUGAGAUCCAUGGAGCAAUUCUUAGAUAGCAAGCACUAGCUCCCGGUGCGUUUCACAGUCGCCAAAGAAGCAUCAAACAUUUCCAAUGAGAUCCAUGGAGCAAUAGAUAGCAAGCACUAGCUCCCUAUGCGAUUAUUCGGCCCUAGACCUAUCCAACACGUAUAAUAGAAAGACUAAGCCUUUUUUUGAGAGUCCAAAACUGAAAUAGUGCCAAAAGGCACAAAAUACCUUUCUACUGAUAAAAACAAUUACAUAAAUACAUAACACUAUAAUACUGCAUUUUACUUUAAUAGAAACUUAGCCGUUAAAGUUAAACGCAGUACUAUAUUGCAUUUUAUUUAAAAUAUUUUUAGCAAAAUGCAUCACAAUACUGCGUUUCCCUUAAACGAAGUAUUGUACUGCAAUUGUUCUAUAAAAUUUGGGCCCACCUUAUAGUAGUUCUGCGUUUAAUUAAUUUCCUAUAUUUUAUUAUAGCAAAAUGCAGUACAAUACUACAUUUCCUUAAACGCAAAACGUAGUAUUGUAGUGUGAUUCCCUAUAAUAAAAUAUAGGGCCCCUUCUUCUCCCUCAAGAUAACGGCAGUCCUCCAUUUUGAAAAAACUCCCCAUGACUGCCGGUCCAACCCCCCUCCCGCGAAAUAAAAAAAAAAAUUGGACCCCACCCAUCAUACGAAAAGCGAAGAGUGUAGGACCCCCACACAACACAAGCCUUGGAUUCCUUCUUUCGGGUUAAAAUUUUGAUUUGGAUCUGUUUCAAAAAACUUAAAUCGAGGUAUUUUAAUUUUGUUUAUGUCGAAACGCGUAGGGAAUAUGCAUAUUUAUUUUUUUGAAUGUGUUUCACGUUGAUUUGUGUUAUGUUUGUAUUUAUAUUUGUGUGUUAUUUUGACCCGGAUUAAAUUAUGAGCCUUGGGACAAAAAUUAGUUAAAACUUGAAAAAUAAUAUAUANNNNNNNNNNNNNNNNAUAUAUAUAUAUAUAUACAUACAUGGAUUAAACAAUUUUAAGAUAAUUAAAUAAAAUGAUUUCCCGGAAUACAACCCAACACAGCCUAAAUCGGGGUGUCACAAGUUACGAGCAUCUAAAGAAUCUAAACACUAAUACAAGACCACCAAUAUACAGAAUAGAAUUUAGAAUCAAUGAAGAAAUACGGUGCAAUGAACGCUGACGGUCACCUUGCUCAGCUACAAUAGUAUACCUUCAGUCCCCUAAUAACCCGCUACCGUGUGACUAGUACCUGCAACUGCACGCAAGGUGCAGGGAGUAAAGUGAGUACUUCCAACUCAGUGGUAAUAAGAGUAGACAAUAACUUAAGGCAAGAAAUCACGUAAGAGCACUCCACCAUGCAAUAUGGAGCAACACAACCGUUUGAGAAAAACAGUAAGUCCGGGAAAAUUCCUUAGAAAAUAUUUUCCUCGGUUUAAAAUCACUUUCGAAAAUAUCAUUUUUUCCAACAAUUUAAGAAAGUAAAUGCAGGACAGGUAGUGCAAGUUAGCACGAAAGUCAGCCUCUCGAGCACAAGCAAGUAUGUAUAAUUUAAUUCAUAACUCGCCCUUCAGGCAAUAUUCUUACCGAUGGUCAGCCACUGUUACCUGACUCAUAUACAUCAUACAGUGUCAUUGUUACCACUGUCUCAAAUUUAUCCACUUUGAAAGUGAUCAGACAAUCUCAGAACAACAAAAAAAAUAUCUCAAGAAAUGACAUAAACAACAAAUAGUGCACAAAUGUAUGAAUGCAAUGCAAUGCAUAUGAUGGUACAUUCUAGUACCCACUACGGCAUGCAGCCCGAGCCAUCCAUCUUUAUUUAUCGUAGACGGCGCUCACUAGGGUGUGUACAGACUCUGGAGGGGCUCCUACAUCCCAAGUGCAAUAUCUUGGCAGUCAUUGUUACCUGACCAGUCAACCAUUGUUACCUGAUCAAUUUAUAUCGCACAGUGCCAUUGUUACAACUGUUCCAAGUAUAACAUACAGUUCCGUUGUUACCACUUGUUCAAGUCACUUUAUAAUCAGUCCAGAAAAUUAUGCAGUAAGCCCCUUGGUCUUUUAAUAAAUAGAAGUUUCCAGCCCGAAAUGCAUUUAAAAUGUCAUUCUAGUUUUCAACACUUAGAAUUAUGACUGAGUUUGCAAAACAACAUUUAAAACCUUGGACUGAAUUAGAUGAUAUGCAAAUCAUGCUAAGCAGUAAUAUCAAUCCUCGAAGGAUUUACAAGUCGGCACAAGGCCGCAAACAUGGCAAUCCGUCCAAAUUAUGAUGAUAACAAGUAAUUUCAGUCAAAUACGCAGUAAAAUCAACAACCUGGAUGGACCAAGUCGCAAUCCCCACCAACGCUCUACCCCACGCUCAUAUCCUCCGUGCAAGUCACCUCAUUACGGAACUAUGAUGUGCAAAUACGGGGUUUCAAACCCUCAGGAUAUCAUUUACAAGGAUUACUCACCUCGAACCGGUGAAAUCUCUAGUCGGCAAUGCCUUCGCCCACCAAAUCGGCCUCCACGCGCGUCGAAUCUAACCAAAAUCAAAGUGAAUACAUAACAAUAUGCUAAGGGAAUGAUACCCAAUUGAAAACAAUCGAGAAAUGUCAAAAUUCACAAAAUUUGCAAAACCUGAGCCUCGGGACCACGUCUUAAAUCCUUAAAUUCUUACAUCAGUAUGAUCCUUAUCUCGCCAUGAGUUUAUGCAUAAAAAAUUCACACAAAUCUGAGUUUAUUUGACCCCUCAAACCAUCAUUUCUAUCCAAGAGGAUUUUCUACUCUUUUCAACAAGAACUCUCAAAUUAUACACCAAAACUUGCAAUAGAUUCGAGUUAUACAACCAAAAUUGAGUUAAACCCCAUUGUUAUCUAAGAAAAUGUGUCCCAAAAUCGCCCAACCGAGCUCUAAAUUGCUAAAAAUGGAAAAUGGGAACGAAGCCCUAUUUUCAUAAAUUGAACAUUCUACCCAAAAUUUCCGAGGUUACUGUUCACCUUCUGUUACAGUUCAUGGGGGAGCUGUUCAAGGAUACUGUUUAUGGAUACUAUUAAGGGGGUACUAUUUAUGCGUCUGGGCACUGUUCACGCGUGCGAGGUCACUCUUCAGACAUUCGGGUCACUGCUCACGCGUGCGGAUCACUGUUCACGCUGCAAAAAAAAUUCUGCAGCUGUCCAAAAUAAUUGCAGCAAAUUUUAUUUUUACUAAAAUGAAUCUAAAUCCGUCAUACAAACUCCGAAUUAGACGAUUCUUAUUCAUAUAAGUCAAAAAUAAUUAUAUGAACAUAACCAUUCAAUCGAAACUGAAUUUGGAGCUCAUUUGCCUAGUGUGAUAUCAAUUUUGCUUGUUAAACAAUUACUCAUGUUUCACGUCAAAUACCCAAUAGCGACUUGAUGAAAUUAAACCAAAAUUUCCAGAUUUGUCCGAUAAUUCAUGAUUUAAAUUAUGGAAGUCUCAAAAUCAAAUUUGGAUCUCUAUGACUAAAAAUGAACCUUUAGAUCAAUACAUUUAUGCUCAAAACGGCAAAAAUCUUCCAAAAAUGACCCGUUAGGCAUCUGACACACACCUGAGGCCCCCGGGACCCCGACCAAUAACACCAACCAGUCCCAAAAUACAUUACGGACUUGCUCGAGGCCUCAAAUCGUAUCAGACAACGCUAAAAUCAUGAAUCAACCUCCAAUCUAAGUUUUAUCAACUUUAGAACUUCCAACUUCUAUUUUCGAUGUCAAAACCUAUCAAAUCACGUCCAAUUGACUUCAAAUUUUGCACACAAGUCCAUAAUGUCAUAACGCAAACAACACUAAAAUUAUGAAUCAACCUCCAAUCCAAGCUAUAUGAACUUUUGAACUUCCAACUUCUAUUUUUGAUGCUGAAACCUAUCAAAUCACGUUCGAUUGACUUCAAAUUUUGCACACAAGUCAAAAAUGACAUAAAGAAGCUACAUCAACUCUAAGUAUUCCAUUCCGACUCCUAGAUCAAAAUUUCACCUAUCAACCAGAAAUCGCCAAAAUAGGCUAACUUCUUCAUCGGACCUCUAAAAUUACUUCCGAUUGUACUCCUAAGCCUUAUAUCAUCCCCCGAAACUAACCAAAUCAUCAAAAUUGAAUUUGGAGCUCUCUAACUCAUAAGUCAACGUCAGGUUGACUUUUUCAAAUUAAUUCUUCCUUAAAGAGACUAGUUGUCUCAUUUUUUAUAAAAAUCACUCCAAAUCAAUUCUAAUGUACACCCUACCGGUAAUGAAACAUAAGAAAGCAUAAAAUGGGAAGAACGGGGUAGUAAAUCAUGAGACGAUGGUUCUGGUCAUCACAUUCUCCCUCGCUUAAACAAAUGUUCGUCCUUGAACGUUCCCAGAGUUGUUCCAAAAGCCCAUAAAUCAUAGAACUACCUUUUUACUUCUGAAAAAUUCAAUAUGAUCAAAACCUCACACCUAUCCCUUGAAUAGUCCCGAACCAGUUUUGAUAAACCAUACUCGUACCCUCGGGUGAAAUCAUAGGUUCCACUGCGUAAUCCAAGCACUCAAAACGAUAACUUAUAUUCAUAGUAGUUGCCCACAACCACAACAUACCGAUAGAAAAUUCCUUAUUAGCUAAGAUUUAUUCCAACACUUUCAUAUACUGCAAACGAUAACUGAGACUCGCAGAAACCCAUAGCCAUCUCUCACAUCAACCACUUAUGAUGCCACUCCUACUUUGACUAAUACCACAAAAGAUUUCCGAGAUGAACCUCGAUAUUAUCCUUCUAACGAGCCAAAAUCAAAUUUGUUCGUAUUCAUUAGUGAUCCCAAUCAUCACAUCGAAUCCAAUACACCACUCUAGUGAUUUGACACCUCAAUACAUGCCUAAGCCUCAGCUUGAGUUAUACGUGCACCAAUAAGAAAUGGUCUGAACAUACUCAAAGCAAGAAAAUGAUUCAACUGAGAGAGUUGUACCUCAAAUUCACUAGUACUGCCACAACACAAGGCUGAGACCCUAUCUCACAUCAUAGAAAUAGGAUACACAAAUUUGACCCGCAAGGUCAUGUAUCCACACUUCUUGGUUUCACGUGCGAUCCCGUCCAAAUACUUAUUCCACGUAAAACACCUCUGCACUGACAUCCACCACGAAGGCCCAAUUAAGAACCAAUCUUUCCCAGCUGUCUGUUGGUUCCUUGAAAUAUAAAUCAUUCUGCUAAAUCAUAUUCUAACACACUUCACCACUUAGCCCGUGGCAUUUUCGGCUCAGCCCCUAAUGCAAUAGUUCAAAAUCACCCAAUACUAAAACAACCUGUCUGAAUUUCAACAUCACAUCCAAAAUAUAACACACCAACGAAUAAAGAUUCACCACCACCACCUAGCCUGUACAUCAGAACUCGAUAUUGCACACAAAUCAUCAAACCUGAUCCCAGUUUCCACUGUGCAAUACACACACACAUUUGACACACCUUCAUUCCACGACAGAUACUAGAUAUUUACAUGUUCUUCCGAUCAAACCCAAAUACCACCAGUGGACCCAACAAUAACAUGCUGCAAUACUACUAAAAUAUAAUCAGUUUAAUAACAUUACCUUUUUUGAGACAUAUACUCUCAUCAAAUCACUUCCACUUAGCAAUAUCAUUUUCCUAAAUCAUCCGAAGAUCAUUUCUAAUCACUUAGGAUGAAUCACUACACUUCCCAUGCUCUGCAUGACAUACACAAGUCUUGUUCAAAUUCUUAUGAUAUUGACACGACAUAUGAUACUUGUACACAUUCAUAACUACUAUCAAACAACAAUUCAUUAGUUAUAUACUCUUGGCAAGAACUAUCGCCUCAUUCUGAGCCAAACAAUGGUCUUAGCUCUUUAAUUUAAUUCGCAUACUUAGAUUGCUCUAAUCUCAAAGUCAAUGAUCUCUCCUCGCCCAGCAUGAACUGCUCGGGCAAUAAGCCACUCAAGACACAAAUAAAAGUCGCAUAUGAUGCCCCAAUGUGCCAAUAGGCUACCAGUUCGAACGCAAUACAAAAGAAAACGAGCUUUGGAAGGAAUUACCAAAUCCUACACACUAAUAUAGACUUUCCUUGGAAAACAGGAAGCAAGGCAUACAAAGAUAGCAUACAGAAAAACUAUACCCGAUUUCAUACUACUGCGGCGUGCAACUUGAUUUGGAUAACAUACCCAUGGUGGCAUGCCACCCGAUCCACACAUAGAUCUCAUAUAAGGAGAUGCACAUCAAGCCAAUUUUCUCAUUGCAGUAAAAUACCGAGUAUCGGUCAUAAGCAUGCUAAGUGCAUAAUAAUAUCUCUGAGGGGCAUAUAGUGUUAUAAGUUACAAAACUCAAGCACAACUGAGGUGCGAUGUACAAAUCUAAAUUUUCAAGAGCCAAGAUGCUCAUAUAACGUCAUUCCUACAUAGAUUCUCAACAUAUAGAAAUUUCUCAAAUCGCCUUACAACUCACAUGGCACUAUGCAUCACAAUGAAAAAUAUCCGACAAUAAAACAUCAACUUAUCUACCCCUCCAUGAAGACUGCGUCACAAAAAUGCACACAUCUGGCCUGAUAUAGAGCCAUUAUUCACAUUAAAUCUAUUUAUCGACUUCAAUCUGACAAUGAAACAUCAACCUAGCUACUUCUCCAUGAGGACUGCGUCACUAAAAUGCACACAUAUGGCCUGAUAUAGAGCCAUUAUUCACAUUAGAUCUAUUUGUCGAUUUUAAGCCGAUUCUGAUCACACUGGACUAGUGUGAUAACCUUUCAAAGGUCCAUAAUAACUUCAAGUUUCUUCUAAAAACACAAGAACAACCAUCACAAUUAGAGUAAUCUUCCCCAGUUCACAACCCAAUAUGCCAAGUGCCCUCCAGGCAUGAAUCUUUAAUUUAACACCACCAUCACAAACUUCAUACUUGGUUUACAUCUUUGCUCAAUCAAGUGAUCACAUGCCACACUUAUAUAAUCUUCCCGUGGGACACGCUCUCACAACUUACCACAAUAAUAUCUAGAGCGUACCUCCAAAUCAUCGGUCGCACUAACGCUGAAGAGCGAUCAAGAAUCUUAACAAGGACGCAAAACCCUUUUUCAAAACACCACUCUUAGGUGACGCUGAAUACAAUUCCAACUUACCGUAAACAUCGAAACUCAUCUCGUGCUCAUCCGAGCUCAUGACAUCUUUUCAGAAAUUUUCCUUCAUUCGUGCCAUUCUUGACCCAGUUUCCAUAACUUGAACUGAUUCACUAGCAUGCGUCAAACUCAAACCAAUAUAGCAUUUAAUGGUGCAAUAGCCCUAUUUAAUAGCAAACUCCCCAACUUGGCUCAAAGCCAUAGAUUAAAACACACUUAUACUCUAUUACUGUCGUAAUAUCAUGGUGUGAUUAAACUUCCUCCAUCAAAGCUCGUGGAAAUACGAAUCAAUGGAAAUUUUAACUCUUCUGCAAUUUUAUCUUUCACUCACACAAUAGUUAAGCCCACUCUUUAGGCGACAAAAUUAUACUAAGUCCCAAAUGUUUCAAAAAUUUCGGCAGAGAUUCCUUUGUAAUAUGGCCUAUCCACCUGCCAGAGAAUCACCAAAACCAUCCUAACAAUACGUCCAAAACUUGAAAAAGUAUCACAAUGCAUAUCAAUUACAUAAAUUUCAAUACUACAUAUAUUAUACUAUCAAAAUUGAUACAGGGACAUGUGUUGCACCUAUUAGAAUCAUAACACGUAGAAAAUACCUUUCAAAUUCCAUUAUUAAGCUAUUCAACCAAGUAAGAACAUAUUAUUUCUUUAAAUGUUUUCGACCUUCAAGGUGGUCUCCUUGACCCAAUGCUUUCGUCAUAUACAUAUACAUAAGCGAUUUCAGCUCCUAAACUUAUCUAACUAGUAUGCAAAUAGCUUCCCUUCAUAAGCCAAUUACCCAUUCAUUUUGUUAUAAUACAUUUACAGAAGCGAUCUUAGCUCCCAAACUUAUCUAACUAGUAUGCAAAUAGCUUCCCUUCAUAAGCCAAUUACCCAUUAACUUUACCUUUAGUUUAUAUUUUUGUAUACCUUCCACCGCCAUACACAUUACUCAUAACGUGGAUAUCCAAUUUCCAUUGCGGCAAAUAAGGACAAUAAUGAACAUAUGAGUUCAAAACACUUGCUCACAAAAUCAGCACCUCGGUGCUCAAGCCAUAGGCAAAGAUCUGGCCUCAAGUCCUCUCUACUGGCUUAAUAUCAAAAUCACAGUGAUUACACCUCGCCCCUCGAUCGGGGAAUUACAAGCCAUCAAGGCACAUCUAAUACUCGCUCAACGUAAAACUCACGAAUAUUACAUCUCCCCCCGAUUGGGGAAUCAUAAACCAUCAAGGCACAUCUGAUACUGAGCGCUCACGUGCUUAUACAAUAGCGUGGAAGGAAUUUCAAGAGUUUUCUUUUCAAGCUGAAUGAAGGACGCACGAUAAGAAUUCAAGAAUGGGAUGUUUUCCUAAAAGCGCUCACGUGCUUAUACAAUAGCGUGGAAGGAAUUUCAAGAGUUUUCUUUUCAAGCUGAAUGAAGGACGCACGAUAAGAAUUCAAGAAUGUGAAAUUUUUCCUAAAGGUUCUAUAGCCUCUCGAGGAUAAAUAAAUAUGCGUCCGUACCAAUCCGUGAGACUUUACUAAACCUACUCAUGACUCGUGAGACAUGGUAACCUAGGCUCUAAUACCAACUUAUCACGACCCAAACCCCAAACAUGAUCGUGAUGGCGCCUCUUGUGAAGACAAGGCCAGCCAACCAAUUUAAACAACCUUUUUACGAAUGUAUAUUUAUAUAUAUCUGCAAAAAAAAUUCUGCAGCUGUCCAAAAUAAUUGCAGCAAAUUUUAUUUUUACUAAAAUGAAUCUAAAUCCGUCAUACAAACUCCGAAUUAGACGAUUCUUAUUCAUAUAAGUCAAAAAUAAUUAUAUGAACAUAACCAUUCAAUCGAAACUGAAUUUGGAGCUCAUUUGCCUAGUGUGAUAUCAAUUUUGCUUGUUAAACAAUUACGCUGAUACAAGACCAGCAAUAUACAUAAUGGAAAUUAGAAUCAAUAAAGAAAUACGGUGCCGUGAACGCUGACGGUCACGUUGCUCAGCUACAAUAGUAUACCUUCAGUCCGCUAAUAACCUGCAACCGGGUGAACAAUAACUGCAAUUGAAAGCUAUAUGCUAAAUCAUCCAAGUGUGAGUAUAGAUGUCCUCAAAAAGAACCGUAUAGUAACUCUCCGCCUUCUCUCUAGUCUAGAGAGAGAAAGCUGGCAAAUUCUAGAUUCAAUGGGCUUAAAUCUUUCUUCUAGUGUGGGUUCAUCUCAAUUUUAAUCCCAAAUGAACGCCUCUCCUCUUAUAACCAUUUCCCAAAAGUUUGUUCAUCCUUAUCUAUAAUCGUUCUAUCCAGAUCUUAAUUUCAAAUUCUUCAGAUUACUGUAGAAUUGUCUUCUUCUUCAUAAUCUGAAAUUUCUAAGCACUUCUUUGGUAUACAAUUGUUAUGUUACUCAUUAACUAGCUUGGUCUCAACUACAUCGGCUUUUAUUCUUAAAAUUGCUUCGCUUGCAUCUGAAAAUCUGCCAAGAAUUUCACCUAUUGAAAAUCUGAUCUUUUCUGGAUAUUGCUAAACUGAUAUUUUUCUUAAAGAUCUGUAAAGUUUCUGUCCAAAAAUACUGUUCUUUUGAAGAACUGUAGCAUACAGUUUCUUCUUCAUCAACAAGUUCCUGCAGUUUUGAGGUUCCUUGAUUGACGUUCAUGACCAACAUGGCCGGUGACCAGUCAUCUCCAAUGGCUGGACAGCCAUCUCAAGCUACAUCGUCCGUCCCUAAUAACACCUCAACAUUACCCAAGCCUUUAGAUUAUUCAAAUAUCCUAUAACCAGCCACAAUCAAUACUCCAGUUCAACGACAAUGCAAUGUCGAGCCUAUUACAAUGCGCCAACAAGUUUUAUUACAUGGAGAGCCUAUGGUACGCUUCACUGAAGCUGAGGUAGAUCGAAUGAACAAGAUUGAAAAUCUCCAUUAUGCUGUCGUGUGCAAAUUUUCUUCUGGUUGGCCUGACAUUAAUGAAUUACGUCGAAUUGUCCUGAUUCAAUGUGGAAUCAAAGGCGAGUGUACAAUUGGACACCUUCCUGACAAACAUGUAUUGAUAAGAUUGACUUUAUCGCAAGAUUUUGUUGCUUUCUCAUCAAAGAACGUUUAUUAUGUAAAAGACAUGGCUGGAAAUGAUUACCAAUUGCGAACUUUUAUAUAUGAUGCUAAAUUCAAAGUCGAUGAGGAAACACCUAAGGUAAUGGCUUGGAUUUCUUUUCCUUAUUUGCUGCAAACUUAUUUUGCAAAAGAAUGUCUGUUUUCGUUGGCUUUUGCUGGGAAAGCCAAUGCAUCUAGAUUUGGCUACUAUUAAAAAGACAAGGCCAAGUUGUGCACGUGUUUAGGUGUUAGUUGAUUUAUUAACUGAUUUACCUAAAAAAUUACGUAUGGAUAUUGUUAAUGAGCCAAUGGGGGAUGUGAGGACUGAUUGGGUGACGAUUAAAUACGAUUACCUACCCAAAAUACUGCAAAGAAUGCAAGUUACAAGGACAUGACAACAUUGAAUGUUGGAGAAUUAAUCCGGAGUUAUGGGAAAAGAAAAAUGUCCAGCAGCAAGAAAAUGUUGAAUCUGUUCUGCAAAACAUGAUGCUCCCAUAAUGACUCUUACCAGCGGCAAGGUGGUAGGUAAUGUAGGCCCUCAACGGAAGGAAGUUCGCGAUAAUAGGGUCCUUAACAAAGGAAAACAAACUGAAGUUUCUGCGGCACAAGGUAAUGAAAUAGUCCUUGGUAACAAUGUCGAUGUCACAAAACAAAUCCAAACUACCAACCAAUUUGUAUUUUUAGAAAUUGAAAAUGGUGAGAAUAAUGAAGGUAACAACCUAGCAGAUACAGAGGAAUCUCCCGUUUAAAAAACCACAAGCAACAACGAUAUUCAACAAAAUAAUUGCACAACAAGUGUGGAAAAUGUUUUACAAGAGCAUGAAUUUUAUUUUUCAACUACACAAAUGGUACAAGAGAUAACUUGUCCUAGCUCUUCUUGGAGACAAACAUCCAAGACACAACCAAAGAAUCUGAAUCAUGUAGACCUACAUUCAAUCCUACAGCAAAAAGAAAUAUUGAAGACAAAAGGGAAUCAAACAGAUUGUGUACAACAAGAUUUAGGGAAAGAGCAGCAUAUUCACAAUUACUCAACUGCCCAAUGGGUUAAGGAAGCUUUCAAAAAUAAUGCAGUUAAGCUCAAUACUUUAUGUCAAGACAUUCCUUCACAGGACACCAACGAUGACCAACAAUUAACAAAAAACAAUGGAAAUGAAUUUUUUAAGAUGCAGAUAUUGAGAAAUUCAGGACCAAUGAAAAAGAAAAAUGGGCAACAGGGAAAUUAUGGCUCAACAAAACAGAGGAACUCUUAGAAGAUGGUCAGAUUCCAGAUACAAUGCAUAGUGAUGAUGAAAAUAAAGGAAAUGAAGUGGAAAAUGAAGACCAAAGUGUUAAUAGUAAUGUCAACGCAAUUGCUAGUCAAAGCAUAACUGGAGGCGAAAAUGCAAUAGCAGAAAAGACAACAGAGGGAAACAUCAAUAUCAUAGAUCCAGGAGGGACUUCGCAUAAUGGUGUGAGUAAUGUCUUGAAAGAAGUACAAAUUGUAGAUACAAAUAAAGAAAAAUAUUCAGACAAGAACCAAGAGAAGACAAUGCAGGUCUAUGCAAGAAGUGAUGUAAUAUUAAGAACAUCGAAGGGUGUAGCAGGAAGUGUUGUUCCAACGAACAAUACACAGUUGUUGACCAAUGAUCAGGAAGAAAAAACUGCUGAAGUUACCAAUCAGGAAAAUAAUGCUGACCUUACCAAUCAGCCAUAUGAUGUUUUCACAGCAAAAGAACCAAUAGAAUCACAUGACCCAGAUGACCACACAGAACUUAAAGGUAGACACAUGGAUGAUGAAUCCACUGGUCAAAAUUUCCUUAAUGUGGCCAAGCAUGGGGAUCUGUCACCAAGGAAUAUUGAACCUAUAAAAUUUGCAACAAAAGGAAAAAAGAAACGGUCAAAAGAGACUUCUAAUGUUCAUGUCAGUGGAGUAGAAACAAGGAGUACACUGUCCAAACCCAAAAACAUUUAUUGGAUGCCAUUAUAUGGAAUGUGAGGUCACUAAGCACAAUGCAAGCAUUUAAAAGGCUAAUUACAAUGCAUAGAAAACAUCACUUUCAGUUCAUAGGAAUCAUAGAGCUUAUGCAACAGUCUCACAAAAUUGAGAGGUAUAGAGCAAGAAUUUGUUUGGCACAGGCUGUGGUGAAUAUGUCAAUCAAGAUUUUGAUUUUUAUUGAUGAAAUUUGGCAGUUACUAUUCCGUAUAACAUGACUCAAUAGCUGACUUUGUGGUUGAUGCACACUGAAACUCAUGUUGAGCUCAUCCUUACGCUAGUCUAUGCCAAAUGUGACCGCAUUGAAAGAAUUGAUCUAUGGGAUUCAUCAUAUGCAAUGGCAUCAGAUAUGACACUACCAUGGCUAGUAGGAGGUGACUUUAAUGUGAUAUGGGACGGGGAAGAGAAGUAUAGAGGAUUGUCGGUUUCUCUCCUUGAAAUAGAUGACUCUAGACACUGCAUAAAUACCUGCACUUUGACAGAUUUGGGAUUUAAAGGAAGCAAAUUUACAUGGUGGAAUGGAAGAUCAGAGGAGGACUGAAUAUUCAAAAUAUUGGAUAGAUGUUUAGGCAAUGAUGAAUUGCAGCAGACCUUUCCUGGAUAUGAGGUCACUCACCUAUCCAAAAUUGGCUCCGAUCAUUGCCCGAUGCUGUUGAAAUGUGAUAUAAAAACUCCCCCAAUUAAGAAGUUAUUUAGAUUUCUUAACUUCUGUACAAAGCAGGAAACAUUCAAAGAUGUAGUAAAAGAGAAUUGGAAUGCGGAUUUUAGUGCUAACCUUUUCAGCACUUUUAACUACAAGUUAAAGAAGCUUAAACAUGCACAAUCUACCUGGAGCAGAGCUACAUAUGGGGACAUAUUCUAGAAGAUUCCAAGCCUUGAGGAGGUGUUUAUGGUUCAUGAAAGACAAUUUGAGCUUAAUCCUACACAGAUAAACAAAUAGAGAUUACGACAAGGCCAAGUUGAAAUGCUUAAAUAUCUUGCUUUAGAAGAAGAUUUUUAGAGACAAAAAUCAAGCAUGUUAUGGUUCAAAAAUGGCAAUAGAAAAACUAAAUUCUUCCAUGCUCAAGUUAAUGGGAGAAGGGAGAGAGUGAAAUUAUCAAGGAUCCAGAAUAGCCUUGAUAACUGGAUUGAAGAAGACCCUUAAUAGAAGAAGAAGCAGUAAAAAUUUUCAAGGAUCAAUUUACUGAGAGUACAGCUCCUAAUGCUUUUGAUAUUCUAAAUCAAGUACCUUCAAUAAUAGAUAAUGAUCAACAUGAGAGACUAAUGGCUUUGCCUUCGAAUGAGGAAGUGAAGAGAGCAGUUAUGGAGCUAAAUGGGGACUCUGCAAGAGGACCGGAUGGUUUCACACCUUCUAAUGAGGAAGUGAAGAGAGUAGUUAUGGGGCUGAAUGGGGACUCAGCAGGCGGACCGGAUGGUUUCGCUGGAGCCUUUUACCAAACUUGUUGGGACAUCAUUGAAGAAGAUGUAGUCGGCAUGGUCAAGUCUUUCUUCUGCGGUCACCAGCUGCCAACGAGUAUCACGCACACAAACCUGGUUUUAAUACCAAAGAAAAAAGAAGUGUCUACCUUUGCUGACAUGAGACCAAUUAGUCUUAGCAACUUUGUUAACAAGAUUUUCUCGCGGGUCAUUCAUGAAAGGUUGGUUGAAUUGUUACCGAGAAUAAUCUCAGAGGAACAAGAAGAUUUUUUGAAGGGAAGAAGCAUCAUUGAGAAUGUACUGCUAACUCAAGAAAUCAUUAAGGAUAGAAUUGUUAGCGACCAUAAUCUCAGAGCAACAGGCAAGUUUUGUGAAGGGAAGAAGCGUCGUUGAGAAUGUACUGCUAAUCAAGAAAUUAUUAAGGAUAUCAGGUUAAGAACAAAAGCAUGUCCAAACGUUUUGAUUAAGCUAGACAUGACUAAAGCUUAUGAUAGAUUAUCAUGGCUAUUCCUGACAAAAAUGUUAAGAAUGAUGGGAUUUCCUAAAGAUUUUAUUGGAUUGAUAUUUGAUUUGAUUGGGAAUAAUUGGUACUCUAUUCUUAUAAAUGGUCAGCCAAAUGGUUUUUUCAAAUCAUCAAGGGGAUAUAAGCAGGGAGACCCUCUGUCACCAACCCUAUUCAUUCUAGCAGCAGAAGCAUUGUCUCGAGGUUAGAACUCACUGCAUACUAACCUGCUUUUCCGUGGAUUUCGACUUAAAAAAUGGAGGCCAAAAUAAAACCAUCUUGCAUAUGCAAAUGAUACAAUCAUUUUCUGCUCAUCUGAUACAACUUCAUUGAGACUUGUCAUGGAGGUUCGGCAAGCUUAUGAAUCUUCAUCUUGUCAACUGGUGAACAAAGCCAAAUCAGCUAUAUAUCUGCAUCAUUUGACGGAUAAUGGGGUGAUUAACAAGGUGGAAAGGACUACAUGUAUAGGAAGAUAAUGUUUCCCUAUGACCUAUCUUGGAUGUCCUAUUUUUUGUGCCAGAAGAAGGAGUGAUUAUUACUAGGGAUUAAUUAAUAAGGUUAUUGACAAACUAUAGUCAUGGAAAUCCAAACUCCUAUCUGUAUGAGACAUGGUUGUAUUGAUCGCAAAUGUCCUGCAGAGUAUCCCAAUUCAUACGUUGUCAGCAGUUAAUCCUCCAAGCUAUGUGAUAAACAAAUUACAUAGCAUUUUUGCAAAAAUUUUCUGGAGCGACAAUGUGGGAGGAAGCUCAAGACAUUGGUCAUCAUUGACUAACCUUUUCUGGAGCAGCAAUGUGGGAGGAAGCUCAAGACAUUGGUCAUCAUGGACUAACAUAUAUAUGACUUAUGAGGAAGGGGGUAUAGGUUUCUGAUCCCUUCAUGAUGUAUCCAAGGCACUGUUCUGCAAAUUUUGGUGGAAUUUUAGGACAAAUCCCAGCUUAUGGAGUGCAUUUAUGUGUCAAAAGUAUUACAAGAAAUUAAAUUCGGUAAUUGUACCGUGGAAGGGUGGAUCCCAUGUGUGGAGGAAAAAGCUUCAAUGUAGGGACUUGAUUGAGCAUCAAAUCUACUGGAAAUUAAGAAUGGGAUCGGCUCACUUCUGGUUUGACAAUUGGACCGAGAUGGGAGCCUUAUAUUUCUAAGUGCCUGCACAGUUUGUUGUUGAUGAAGACAUUCAAAAUGUCAGUGAUAUGAUUGAAAAUGGUAUGUGGAAUUUGGAAAAAUUAUUUCAAACUCUACCUGAAGAUUUGGAAAACCCCAUUAUGCAGAAUAUUACACCACCAAAGGAAUGUGCAGAGUUAGACACACCAUUCUGAAUGCUUGAAACAAAGGGGACAUUUUUCAGUGAAAUCUGCAUGGGAUUAUCUGCGAAGAAGAGACAUUCCAAGGCUAGCUUACAAGAUGAUAUGGGUCAAAGGCUUACCAUUCNNNNNNNNNNNNNNNNNNNNNNNNNNNNNNNNNNNNNNNNNNNNNNNNNNNNNNNNNNNNNNNNNNNNNNNNNNNUUAGCUGCUAUUCCUGUUAGAAUCGCACCUAAGGAUUACCAUUCAAGAUAUCCUUCUUCAUGUGGAAGGUGUGGAAAGCCAAACUUCCACUUGAUGAUUUCUUGCGUAGAAUAGGAUACUCCAUGGAAGCUAAAUGUUGGUGCUGUGCUAAUCCUAAGGAGGAGUCUUUAUUUCAUUUAUUCUUCACAUCCAAUGCAGCUAGGAGUGUUUGGAGUUACUUCCUGAGGAGAGCAGGAAUUGCUUUAGAAGGGUUGUCUUUACAACAAGCAAUUACAAAGUGUUGGAUGGCAUCAGUUAUUCCUAGAUUGAAGCCAGUCUUGCAAGCAUUACCUGGAUGCAUUGUAUGGGAGUUAUGGAAGAGAAGAAACUAUUUAAAAUAUGGAGAAACAGUUUCAGUCAGCAGAGGUAUUUACCAGGUGUCAUCUACACUGUAAGCUCUAAUCCACGUGAAAAAUCCAGGACUACAUGUGCCUCACAAGUGGCUUGACUUGCUAACAAUGAUGGAGCAAUACACACGUCCAUUGAAUUAUGAUAAAGUGCUUUGGGAAUUUCCUCCAACAGGCUGGAUCAAAGUGAAUAUUGAUGGAGCAUGCAAAGGGAACCCAGGGAGGAGUUCAAUUGGUUUUUGUUUAAGAGAUGAGAUAGGUGAUUUGAUAUAUGCAAAAGGAAGAGAAAUUAAGUAGGGUUCUAACAAUGAAGUUGAGGCGACAACAAUAGUAGAGGCAAUGAGAAUGUGCAAAGCAAUGAACCUCAACAAUGUUUGGCUUCAGACAGAUUCGAUGAUGCUUCAAAAGAUCAUAGAUGGACAAUGGAAACCACCCUGGAACAUUGUGGAUGCAGUGGAGGAAAUCAACAGAUUCAAAUUGGGGUGUAAUUUCGAGAUAUCUCACAUUUUUAGAGAGGAAAACAAACUAGCAGACCACCUUGCAAAUUAUGCACUUGACAAUGCCAACAUAGAGAGUUAUGAUUUCAGGGAACUUGAUGUGUCGAGAAGAAGGUUGGUAAAUGAGAAUAAGCUACAAUGUCCAAACCUGAGAAUAAGAGUUGCAAGAAUUUAGAGAAGGAAAGGGAAGAAACAAAUGCAAUCGACAUUAAUACAACAUGCAGUCACCAUGAUCGGGCAGGGGAGAACAUGGAGAUAACAUUUUUCAUUGACAUUUGUUUCUUUUUUGCAGGUACUUUUGAAGCAUUAUUAUACUGUGUCUUCAACAAGUUUUCAUUGGGGGUUUUAAUGCAAUUCAUUAUCUACAAUGGAAUGAAUGAAAAGGCAUUAUGAUACUAGCCAAGGAAUAGUAAACAGAGAAGAAAGCAUUAGUACAUUAGAUGGGAGGCUCACUGGAAAUUUUGGGGCAGACAAUGCAACAAUAAUAAGAGCGGGGAACAUCGAGAAUCAAAGGGUGACAAGUGUUGCAGUGCUUGGUGUUAUAUAGCGAACGAGUUUGCCUAUCUCUUUCUACUUGAAAAUAUUGAACGCCACUCAACCAUUUUUGAAAUGGAAAUCUGCAGAACAUGGACAUUCACAUUGGGUGUAGUAUUCUAUUCUAUUAAAGAAGGGGCAUGUUCCUCUUUUUGCUUUUUCAAUGUAACCUCGUUCCUGAAGAGAGAGGAACACGCUACUGAAGAAAGAUUCUUCACUUGGAAUUCGGAUAUCAAGUCAAGUUGCACUGAAUGUGUACAAUUCAUAUGGAGCAUUUCAAUUGGAACGGGAAUGAAUGGCCCUCAAACAUGGAGUCACAACUUGUCACGAUGGAAAUCAAGUGUUUUAAAUAUUAUAAUUUGAGCAUGGCUACACAUUUGGCCUUUUGGAGGAGUCGAGAUGUUAGGAUUAAAGAAAGAGACAAUGGGAAUUAGGACCUCUUGCACAGCUUAUUCUUUAAUGCUAAAGCACGGUCUUCAAAGGAAAACGUUCCAGCACUCAAUAUAUAAAAUUGCAUGCCUAUGUUGGAGAUUGAGGUCCUGGAAAAUGUCCUUUUGCACAUGGGGAGGUGCACCAUGUGCUUGUUGGAUUAAAGAAAGGGACAAUGGGAAUUAGGACCUCUUGUACACCUUAUUCUUUAAUGCUGAAGCACAGUCUUCAAAGGAAAAAGUUCCAGCACUCAAUAUAUAAUAUUACACGCCGAUGUUGGAGUUUCAGGUCCUGGAAAAUGUGCUCUUGCACAUGGGGACGUGCAGCAUGUGCUUGUUGGGAUUAAAGAAAGGGACAAGGAACUAAGACCUCUUGCACACCUUAUUCUUUAAUGUUGAAGCACGGUCUUCAAAGGAAAAAGUUCCAGCACUCAAUAUAUAAUAUUGCACGCCUAUUUGGAGUUUGAGUGGGAAUUAAGACCUCUUGCACACCUUAUUCAUUAAUGUUGAAGCACGGUGUUUAACGGAAAAAGUUCCAGCACUCAAUAUAUAAAAUUGCACGCCUAUGUUGGAGAUUUAGGUCCUGGAAAAUGUGCUCUUGCACAUAGGGACGUGCAGCAUGUGCUUGUUGGGAUUAAAGAAAGGGUCAAUGGGAAUUAGGACCUCUUGCACGCCUUAUUCUUUAAUGCUGAAGCACGGUUUUCAAAGGAAAAAGUUCUAGCACUCAAUAUAGAAUAUUGCACGCCUAUGUUGGAGUUUGAGGUCCUGGAAAAUGUGCUCUUGCACAUGGGGACGUGCGAGCAUGGCUGCACAUUUGGCAUUUUGGAGGAUUCACGCACGCUGGACAACUCAAUGGAAUUUGCAGCUCAUCUGAGGCAGUUGUCACGCAUGGAAGGAAGCUUUGGAUUUUACAAUUAUUAGUUCUCUACACGCAAUUUUACAAAGUUCUGGCCAGAGCGUGCGACACAACUUAAUGAGAAAGGGACAAUGGUAAUUAGGAGCUCUUGCACACCUUAUUCUUUAAUGUUGAAGCACGGUCUUCAAAGGAAAAAGUUCCAGCACUUAAUAUAUAGUAUUGCACGCCUAUGUUGGAUUUUGAGGUCCUGGAAAAUGUGCUCUUGCACAUGGGGACAUGCAAGCAUGGCUGCACAUUUGGCCUUUAGGAGGAGUCCAGAUGUUGGGAUUAAAGAAAGGGACAAUGGAAAUUAGGACCUCUUGCACACCUUAUUCUUUAAUGCUGAAGCACGGUCUUCAAAGGAAAAAGUUGCAGCACUCAAUAUAUAAAAUUGCACGCCUAUGUUGAAGGUUGAGGUCCUAGAAAAUGUUCUUUUGCACAUAGGGAUGUCCAGCAUGUGCUUGGGAUUUUCAAAGACUUGAACAUUGGGAGCAAAACAUGCUACCUCUUAAUCCUAUGGCAACAUGCAAAGGUGCACAUGCACACAUGGAGGGGGCCAGAUACACAACCAGCUUUGGAUUAUUUUAAUCAACUUGGAGAAAAUUCAUGCAUGCUGGACAAUUCAAUGGAAUUUGCAGCUCAUCUGAGGCAGUUUGUCACGCAUGGAAGGAAGAUUUUGAUUUUACAUUGAUUAAUUCUCUAAACGCAAUUUUACCAAGUUCUAGCGAGAGCGUGCGAUGCAACUUAAUACGACCUCUAUGGGUAGUAUUAGCACAGAGCUCAUUCCCUUGAGGAAGGAAAGGUGACGUUGCACGUGAACGGCAGACCAAGUAUGGAAAUGGAGUACAAAUACAAGGAUUGACAUCAUAUUUUUAAUUAUAGUAUGCUUUUUGUGAAACUAAGGUUGAGUAUUCUACUUAACUUUGGUAAUAGGAUGAAUGUAAAUGUCAAAGUUUAUUUCUUUCGUUUCAUAAGACCUUCAGAUAAUGUAUUUAUUUUUGUGUUUAUUUAUUUAAUAACAUACAAGCCCUAGGCUAAGCCUAGUGGAUUUCCAAAAAAAUACCUACAACUGCACGCAAGGUGCAGGGAGUAAAGUGAGUACUUCCAACUCAAUGGUAAUAAGAGUAAAUAAUAACAUAAGGCAAGAGAUCACGUAAGAGCACUCCGCCAUACAAUAUGGGGAAACACAACAAUUUGAGAAAAACAAUAAGUCCGGAAAAAUUCCUUAGAAAAUAUCUGCCUCAGUUUAAAAUCACUUUCGAAAAUAUUAUUUCUUUUUCAACAAUUUAAGCAAGUAAAUGCAGGGCAUGUAGUGCAAGUUAGCACGAAAGUCAGCCUCUCGGUCACAAGAAAGUAUGUCUAAUUUAAUUCAUAACUCACCCUUCAAGAAAUAUUCUUAUUGCUGGUCAACCACUGAUACCUGACCCAUAUACAUCAUACAGUGUCACUGUUAUCACUGUCUCAAAUUUAUCCACUGUGAAAGUGAUUAAACAAUCUCAAAAAAACAAAAAAAAUAUUCAAGAAAUGAUGUAAACAACAAAUAGUGCAAAAAUGUAUGAAUGCAAUGCAAUGCAAUGCGUAUGAUGGUAUAUUUCAGUACCCACUGCGGCGUGCAGCGCGAGCCAUCCAUAUUUAUUUAUCGUCGACAAUGCUCAUUGGGGGUGUGUACAAACUCCAGAGGGGCUCCUACAGCCCAAGUACAGUAUCUUGGUCAGUCAUUGUUACAUGAUCGGCCAACCAUUGCUACCUGACCAAUUUAUAUCACACAGUACCAUUAUUACCACUGUUCCAAGUAUAACAUACACUGCCGUUGUUACCACUGUUUCAAGUCACUUUAUAAUCAUUCAAGAAAAAACAUGUAGUAAGCCCCUUGGGCUUUUAAAAAAUUGAAGUUUCCAUCCCGAAAUGCAUUUAAAAUGUAAUUCAAAUUUUCAACUCUUAGAAUUAUUGCUGGGUUUGCAAAACAACAUUUAAAACCUUGGAUGGAAGUUAGAUGAUAUGCAAAUCAUGCUAAGCAGUAAUAUCAAUCCUUGAAGGAUUUUACAAGUCGUUACAAGGAUGCAAACAUCGCAAUUAGCCUAGAUUACGAUAAUAACAAGUAAUUUCAGUCAAAUAUGUAGUAAACUCAAAAACCGGGAUGGACCAAGUCACAAUCCCCAACGGUGCUCUACCCCACGCUCAUAUUCGGCGUGCAAGUCACCUCAAUACGACACUAUGAUGUGCAAAUCCGGGGUUUUAAACCCUUGGGAUAUCAUUUACAAGUAUUACUCACCUCGAACCGGUGAAAUCUCUAGGCUACGACGCUUUUUCCCAUCAAACCGGCCUCCACGAGCGUUGAAUCUAACCAAAAAUCAAAGUGAAUACAUCACAAAUGCUAAGGGUACAAUACCCAAUCAGAAACAAUCGAGAAAUGUUGAAAUUCAAGAAAUUAGCAAAACCGGAGCCGCAGGCCUAGAUCUCGAAAUCCAUAAAUUCUUACAUUAGUACGAUCCUUAUCUCGCCACGAGUUUAUACAUACCAAAUUCACAAAAUUCAGAGUUCAUUUGACCCCUCAAAUCACUAUUUCUAUCCAAGAGGAUUUUCUACCCUUUUCAAUAAAAAAUUUCAAAUUAAACACAAAAAUUAGCAAUAUAUUCGAGUUAUACAACCAAAAUUGAGUUAAGAACACUUACCCCUUUGUUCUCGAAGAAAAUAUGUCCAAAAAAUCGCAUUCACCGAGCUCCAAAUUGCUAAAAAUGAAAAAUGGGAAUGAAGUCCCGUUUUCAUAUGUUGAACAUUCUGCUCAAAAUUUCCGAGGGUACUGUUGUCCCCGUGUUACUUUUCAUGGGGGUACUAUCAAGGAUACUGUUCACGGGGUACUGUUUAAGGAUACUAUUACGCGGUACUGUUCAUGCGUCCGGGCACUGUUCACUUGCGCGGGUCAGUGUUCACGCGUGCCGGGUACUGUGCACGCUGCUAAAAAAGUUCAGCAACUGUCCAAAAUAAUUGCGGCAACUUUUAUUUUCACUAAAAUGGCUCUAACUUCGUCACAUGAACUCCGAAUUAGACGAUUCUUGUUCCUAUGAGUCAAAAAUAAUAACGUGAACACAACCUUUGAAUGGAAGCUGAAUUUAGAGCUCAUUUGCCUAGUGUGAUAUCCAUUUCGCUCGUUAAACAAUUACACAUGUUUCGCGUCAAAACCCAAUCGCGAUUUGAUGAAAUUAAACGAAAAUUUCCAGAUCAUUCCUAUAAUUUAUGAUUUAAAUUCGGGAAGUCUCAAAAUCAAAUUUGGAUUUCUAGAACUAAAAAUGAACCUUUAGAUCAUUACAUUUAUGCUCAAAAUGGCAAAAAUCUUCCAAAAAUGACCUGUUGAGCAUCCACAACACACCCGAGGCCUCCGAGACCAUGACCAAUAAGACCAACCAGUCCCAAAAUACAGUACGGACUUGCUCGAGGCCCCAAAUCACAUCAAACAAUGCUGAAAUUAUGAAUCAACCUUCAAUCCAAGCUUUAUGAACUUUAUAACUUCCAACUUUUUCUGAUGCUGAAAACUAUCAAAUCACAUCCGAUUGACUUCAAAUUUUCCACACAACUCUAAAAUGACAUAACGAAGCUACACAACUCUCAUAAUUCCGUUCCGACUCCUGGAUCAAACUUUCACAUAUCAACCGGAAAUCGCCAAAAUACUAACUUCGCCAAAAUAGGUUAACUUCUUCACCAGACCUCUAAAAUUACUUCUGAUUGCGCUCCUAAGCCUUAAUUCAUCCCCUGAAACUAACCGAAUCAUCGAAAUUUAAUUUCGAUCUCUCUAACUCAUAAGUCAACGUCCGGUUAACUUUUCCAAUUUAAUUCUUCCUUAAAGAGACUAGUUGUCUCAUUUCUUAUCAAAAUCACUCCAAAUCAAUUUAAAACGCACCCAAUACCUGUAAUGAAAUAUAAGAAAGCCGAAAAUGGGAAGAAUGGGGUAGUAACUCAUGAGACGACGGGUCGGGUCGUCACAUUCUCCGCAACUUAAACAAACGUUCAUCCUCGAACGUGCCCAAGUACCCCAUACCGGUAAUGAAACAUACGAAAGCAUAAAAUGGGAAGAACGGAGUAGUAACUCAUGAGACAAUAGGUCUGGUCGUCACAUUCUCCCCAACUUAAACAAGUGUUCGUCCGCGAACGUGCCCAGAGUUGUUCCAAAAGACCAUAAAUCAUAGAAAUAGCUUUUUACUUCUGAAACCAUCGAUAUGAUAAAACCCUCACACCUAAACUUUGAAUAGUCUCGAACCAGUUGUGAUAAUCCAUACUUGUACCCUCGUGUGAAAUCAUAGGUUCUACUGCGUCAUCCAAGCACUCAAAACGAUAACUUCUAUUCAUAGUAGUUGCCCACAACAACAAAAUACUGACAGAAAAUACCUUAUUAGAUAAAGUAUUAUUCUUUUCAUAUACUUCCAACGAUAACUGAGACUCGCAGCAAACCAUAACAUCUCUCAGAUUAACCACUUAUGAUGCCACUCCGCUUUUGACUAAUACCACAAUAGAUUUUUGAGCUGAACCUCGAUAUUAUCCUUCUAAUGAGCCGAAAUCAAAUUUGUUCGUAUUCAUCAAUGAUCCCAAUGAUCCCAAUGAUCACCUCGAAUCCAAUACACCACUCUUGUUUGACACCUCAAUACAGGCCUAAGCCUCAACUUGAGUUAUAUGCGCACCAAUAAGAAAUGGUUCGAACAUACUCAAAUCAGGAAAAUGAUUCAACUUACAGAGUUGUACUCAAAUUCACUAGUACUGCCACAACAUAAGGCUGAGAAUCUAUCUCACAUCAUAGAAAUAGGAUACACAAAUUUUACCCGCAAGGUCAUGUUUCCACAAUUCUUUGUUGCACGCACGAUUCCAUCCAAAUACUUAUUCCACGUAAAACACCUCUGCACUGACAUCCACCACGAAGGCCCAAUUACGAACCAAUCUUUCCCAGUUGCUUGUUGGUUCCUUGAAAUAUAAAUCAUUCUGCUAAAAUAAAUUCUAACAUACUUCACCACUUAACCCGUGGAAUUUCCGGUGUGGCCCCUAAUGCAAUAGUUCAAAAUCACCCAACACUAAAACAUACAAUCUUAAUUUCAACAUCAGAUCCAAAAUAUAACACACCAGCGAAUAAAGAUCCACCACUACCACCUAGCCUGUACAUCAGAACUCCAUAUAGCACACAAAUCAUCAAACCUGAUCCCAGUUUCCACCGUGCAAUACACGCACACAUUUGAUACUCCUUUAUUCCAUUACAGAUACUAGAUAUUUACUUGUUCUUCCGAGAGAACUGAAUACCACCAGUAGACCCAACAAGAACAUGCCGCAAUACUAUGAAAAUAUAAUCAAUUUUAUCACAUUACGUUUUUCUGAGAUAUAUAUUCUCUUCAAAUCACUUCCACAUAGCAAUAUCAUUUUUCCAAAUCAUCCGAAGAUCAUUUAUCUAAUCACUUAGGAGGAAUCACUACACAUCCCAUGCUCUGCAUGACAUACACAGGUCUUGUUCAAUUCUUACAAUACUAACACGACGCAUGAGACCUGUACACAUUCAUAACUACUACCGAAACAACAAUUAAUCAUGAUAUACACAGGUCUUGUUCAAAUUCUUCUAAUAUUGACACGAGAGAUGAGACCUGUACACAUUUAUAACUACUAUCGAAACAACAAUUCAUUAGUGCUAUCACCUCAUUAUGAGCCAAACAAUGGUCUUAGCUUUUUAAUUUACUUCACAUACUCAGAUUGCACUUAUCUAAAAUUCAAUGAUCUCGCCUGGCCCAGCAAGAAUUGAUCGGGAAAUAAGCCCCUCAAGACAUAAUUAAAAGUUGCAUAUGGUGCCCCAAUGUGCGAAUAGGCUACCAGUUCGAACGCAAUACAAAAGAAAAUGAACUCUAGAAGGAAUUACCAAAUCCUACGCACUAACAGGAAGCAAGGCAUACAAAGAUAGCAUAUAGAAUAACUAUACCUGAUAUCACAUUGUUGCGGCGUGCAACCUGAUCCGGAUAACAUACUCAUGGCGGUGUGCACCUCGAUCCACACAUAGAUCUCACAUAAGAAGAUGCACAUCGAGCCAAAUUUGCUCAUUACAAUAAAAUACCGAGUAUCAGUCAUAAGCAUGCUAAGUGCAUAAUAAUAUCUCUGAGGAACAUAUAGCGUUAUAAUCUACAAAACUCAAGCACUACUGAGGUGCGAUGUGCAAAUCUGAAUUUUUAAGAGCCAAGAUUCUCAUAUAACGUCAUUCCUACAUAGAUUCUCGACACAUAGCAAUUUAUCAAAUCGCCUUACAACUAGCACGGUGCAAUGCAUCACUACGUGAAAUAUCUGACAAUAAAACAUCAACUUAACUACUCAUCCAUGAGGACUACGUCACUAAGAUGCACACAUCUGGCCAUAUAUAGCGUCAUUAUUCACAUUAAAUCAAUUUAUCAAAUUCAAGCCGGUUCUGAUAACAUUGGACUAGUCUUAUAACCUUUCAAAGGUCCAUAGUAACUUCCAGUUUCUUCUAGAAACAAAAGAACAACCAUCACAAUCGGAGUAAUCCUCCCCAGUUCACAACCCAUUAUGCCAAGUGUCCGCCAGGCAUGAAUCUUUAAUUUAACUACACCAUCACAAACUUCAUACUUGGUGUACAUCUUUACUCAAUCAAGUGAUCACAUGCCACAUUUAUAUAAUCUUCCCGCGGGACACGCUCCCAAAACUUACUACAUCAAUAUCUCGAGCGUACCUCCAAAUCACCGGUCGCACUAACGCUGAAGAGCGAUCAAGAAUCUUAACCAGGACGCAAAAACCUUUUUCAAAACACCGAUCUUCGGUGACGCUAAAGACAAUUCCAACUUACGUAAACAUCGAAACUCAUCUCGUGCUCAUCCGAGCUCAUGAGAUCUUGUCAGAAAUUUCCCUUCAUUCGUGCCAUUCUUGACCCAGUUUCCAUAAUUAGAACUGAUUCACCAGUAUGCAUCAAACUCAAACCAAUAUAGCAUAUGAUCGUGCAAUCGCCCUAUUUAAUAGCAAACUCCCCAACUUGGCUCAAAGCCAUAUAUUAAAACGCACUUAUACUCUAUUGCUGUUGUAAUUUCAUGGUGUGAUUAAACUCCCCCCAUCAAAGCUCGUGGAAAUACGAAUCAACGGAAAUUUUAAAUCUUCUGCAAUUUUAUCAUUCACUCACACAAUAGUUAAGCCCACUCUUUAGGAGACAAAAUUUUACUAAGUCCCAAAUUUUUCAAAAAUUUCGGCAAGUUUCCUUUGUAAUAUGGCCUAUCCACCUGCCAGAGAAUCACCAAAACCAUCCUAACAAUACGUCCACAACUUGACAAAGUAUCACAAUGCAUAUCAAUUACACAAAUUUCAAUACUACAUGUAUUAUGCUAUCAAAAUUGAUACAUGGAUGUGUGUUGCACCUAUUAGAAUCGUAACACAUGGAAAAUACCUUUCAACCCUCCAUUAUUGGGCUAUUCAACCAAGUAAGAACAUAUUCUUGCUUUAAAUUUUUCAACCUUCAAGGUGGUGUCCUUCACCCAAUGAUUUCCUCAUAAUACAAUUACAGAAGCGAUCUCAGCUCCCAAACUUAUCUAACUAGUAUGCAAAUAGCUUCCCUUCAUAAGCCAAUUACCCAUUAGCUUUACCUUUGGUUGAUAUUUUUGUAUAAAUUCCACCGCCAUACACAUUACUCAUCACGUGGAUGUCCAACCGCCAUUCCUGCUAAUAAGGACAAUAUCGAACAUAUGAGUUCAAAGCACUUGCUCACAUAAUCAACAUCUCGGUGCUCAAGCCGAAAGCAAAGAUCCGGCCUCAAGUCCUCCAGACUGGCCCAACAUCAAACUAAUGGAUAUUACAUCUUUCCCCCAUCCCCGCCCCGAUCGGAGAAUCACAAAUCAUUAAGGCACAUAUGAUAUUGAGUGCUCACGUGCGCCUACAAUCGCGUGGAAGGAAUUUCAAGAGUUUUCUUUUCAAGAUGAAUGAAGGACGCACGAUAAGAAUUCAAGAAUGUGAAAUUUUUCCUAAAGGUUCUGCAGCCUCUCGAGGAUAAAUUCAAACGUGUCUGUACCGAUCCGCGAGACUCUACUAAACCUACUCAUGACUUGUGAGACCUAGUAACCUAAGCUCUAAUACCAACUUGUCACGACCCAAAUCCCAAACCGAUCGUGAUGGAGCAUCUCGUAAAGACAAGGCCGGCCAACAAAUUUUAACAGUUUUUUCAACAAUAUAUAAACAGUUUCAAGAUAAUUAAAUAAAAUAAUUUCGCGGAACACAACCGAACACAGCCCAAAUUAGGGUGUCACAAGUCACGAGCAUCUAAAGAAUCUAAACACUAUUACAAGACCAACAAUAUACAUAAUGGAAUUUAGAAUCAAUAAAGAAAUACAGUGCCAUGAACGCUGACGGUCACCUUGCUCAGCUAAAAUAGUAUACCUUCAGUCCGCUAAUAACCCGCUACCGGGUGAACAGUACCAGCAACUGCACGCAAGGUGCAGAGAGUAAAGUGAGUACUUCCAAGUCACUGGUAAUAAGGGUAAAUAAUAACUGAAGGCAAGAAAUCACGUAAGAGCACUCCACCAUGCAAUAUGGGGCAACACAACCAUUUGAGAAAAACAAUUAGUCUGGGAAAAUUCCUUAAAAAAUAUCUGCCUCGGUUUAAAAUCACUUUCGAAAAUAUCAUUUUUUUUCCAACAAUUUAAGCAAGUAAAUGCAGGAAAGGUAGUGCAAGUUAGCACUAAAGUUAGCCUCUUGGGCACAACCAAGUAUGUCUAAUUGAACUCAUAACUCGCCCUUCAGGCAAUAUUCAUACCGCUGUCAGCCACUAUUACCUUACCCAUAUACAUCAUACAGUGUCACUGUUACCACUGUCUCAAAUUUAUCUACUGUGAAAGUGAUCAGACAAUCUCAAAACAACAAAAAAAUAUCUCAAGAAAUGACGUAAACAACAACUAGUGCACAAAUGUAUGAAUGCAAUGCAAUGCACAUGUUGGUACAUUCCAGUAGCCACCGCAGCGUGCAACCUGAGCCAUCCAUAUUUCUUUAUCAUCGACAACGCUCAGUGGGGGUGUGUACAGAGUCCGGAGGGGCUCCUACAGCCCAAGCACAAUAUCUUGGUCUGUCAUUAUUACAUGACCGGUCACCCAUUGUUACCUGACCAAUUUAUAUCACACAGUGUCAUUAUUACCAUUGUUCCAAGUAUAACAUACAGUGUCGUUGUUAUCACUGUUUCAAGUCACUUUAUUAUCUGUCCAUAAAAUAAUGAAGUAAGCCCCUUGGGCUUUUACAAAAUAGAAGUUUCCAACCCGAAAUGCAUUUAAAAUGUCAUUCAUGUUUUCAACACUUAGAAUUAUGGCUGAUUUUGUGAAACAACAUUUAAAAUCUUGGACGGAAGUUAGAUGAUAUGCAAAUCAUGCUAAGCAGUAAUAUCAAUCCUUAAAGGAUUUUACAAGUCGACACAAGUCGCCAACAUGGCAAUCAGCCCAAAUUAUGAUGAUAACAAGUAAUAUCAGUCAAAUAUGCAGUAAAAUCAACAACCGGGAUGGACCAAGUCAUAAUCCCCAGGUGCUCUACCCCACGCUCAUAUCUAGCAUGCAAGUCACCUCAAUACGGCACUAAGAUGUGCAAAUCCGGGGUUUCAAACCCUUAGGAUAUAAUUUACAAGGAUUACUCACCUCGAACCGGUAUAAUCUCUAGCCUUCGACGCCUUUGCCCAUCAAAUCGGCCUCCACGCACGUUGAAUCUAACCAAAAUCAAAGUGAAUACAUCACAAUAUGCAAAGGGCACAAUACCCAAUCGAAAACAAUCGCGAAAUGUCAAAAGUCACGAAAUUUGCAAAACCCGAGCCCACGUCUCAAAAUCCAGAAAUUCUUACAUUAAUAUGAUCCUUAUCUCGCCACGAGUCUAUACAUACCAAAUUCACAAAAAUCGGAGUUCAUUUCGAAAUUUGCAAAAUCCAAGCCCCGGGACCACGUCUCGAAAUCUAGAAAUUUGUACAUCAAUACGAUCCUUAUCUCGCCAUGAGUCUAUGCAUACCAAAUUCAUAAAAUUGGAGUUCAUUUGACCCCUCAAAUCACCAUUUCUAUCCAAGAGAAUUUUCUACCCUUUUCAACAAAAAUUCUGAAAUUAAACAACAAAACUUGCAAUAUAUUCGAGUUAUACAAACAAAAUUGAGUUAAGAACACUUAACCCGUUGUUCUCUAAGAAAAUCUAUCCCAAAAAUCGCCCAAACCGAGCUCCAAAUUGCUAAAAAUGGAAAAGGGGAACGAAGUCCCAUUUUCAUAAAUUGAACAUUCUGCCCAAAAUUUCCGAGGUUACUAUUCACCCUGUGUACUGUUCAUGGGUACUGUUCAAGGAUAUUGUUCACGGGGGUACUCUUUACGGAUACUAUUACGGGGGUACUGUUCAUGCAUCCGGGCACUGUUCACGCGUGCCGGAUAUUGUUCACGCUGCUAAAAAAAUUAAGCAUCUGUCCAAAAUAAUUGCAGCAACUUUUAUUUUCACUAAACUUGCUCUAACUCCGUCAUACGAACUCCAAAUUUUACGAAUCUUGUUCCUAUGAGUCAAAUAUAAUAAUAUGAACGCAACCCUUCAAUCGAAAUUGAAUUCGGAACUCCUUUGCCCAGUGAGAUAUCCAUUUCGCUCGUUAAACAAUUACUUAUAUUUCGCGUCAAAAACCCAAUCGCGACUUGAUGAAAUUAAACCAAAAUUUCCAUAUCAGUCCUAUUAUUUAUGAUUUAAAUAUUGAAAGUCUCGAAAUAAAAUUUGGAUCUCUAUAACUAAAAAAGAACCUUUAGAUCAUAACAUUUAUGCUCAAAACUGCAAAAUCUUCCAAAAAUGACCCGUUGGGCAUCCGAAACACACUCGAGACCACAAGAACCCAACCAAUAACACCAACCAGUCCAAAAAUACAUAACGGACUUUCUCGAGACCUCAAAUCAUAUCAAACAACGCUAAAAUUAGGAAUCAACCUCCAAUCCAAGCUUUAUGAACUUUAGAACUUCCAACUUCUAUUUCUGAGGCUAAAACCUACCAAAUCACGUCUGAAUGACAUCAAAUUUAGCACACAAGUCGUAAAUUAUAUAACAAAUCUAAAGAAACUCUCCGAAUUCCAUUCCGACUCCCGGAUCAAAAUUUCACUUAUCAACCGGAAAUCGCCAAAAUACUAACUUCACCAAAAUAGGUUAACUUCUUCACCGGACCUCUAAAAUUACUUCUGAUUGCGCUCCUAAGCCUUAAAUCAUCCCCCAAAACUAACCGAAUCAUCAAAAUUUAAUUUCGAGCUCUCUAACUCAUAACUCAAUGUCCGCUUGACUUUCCCAAAUUAAUUCUUCCUUAAAUAGACUUGUUGUCUCAUUUCUUAUCAAAAUCACUCCAAAUAAAUUCUAAAGUACCCCAUACCGGUAAUGAAACAUAAGAAAGCAGAAAAUGGGAAGAACAGGGUUGUAACUCCUGAGAUGACGGGUCUGGUCACCACAUUUUCCCCAACUUAAACAAUGUUUGUCCUCCAACUUUCCCAGAGUUGUUCCAAAAGCCCAUUAAUCAUAGAACUACCUUUUUACUUAUGAAACCAUUGAUCUGAUCAAAACCUCACACAUGUACUUUGAAUAGUCCCGAACCAGUUGUAAUAAACCAUACUUGUACCCUCGGGUGAAACCGUAGGUUCUACUGUGUAAUCCAAGCACUCAAAACGAUAACUUCUAUUCACAGUAGUUGUCCACAACCACAAAAUACUGAUAGAAAAUCCAUUAUUAGCAAAAGUCUUAUUACAACACAUUCAUAUACUUCCAAUGAUAUCUGAGACUUGCAGCAAACCAUAACCAUCUCUCAAAUCAACCACAUAUGAUGCCACUCCCCUUUUGACUAACACCACAAUAGGUUUUUGAGCUGAACGUCGAUCUUAUCCUUCUAACGAGCCGAAAUCAAAUUUGUUCGUAUUCAUCUAUGAUCCCAAUGAUCACCUCAAAUCCAAUACACCACUCUAGUGAUUUGACACCUCAAUACAGGCCUAAGCCUCAACUUGCGUUAUACGCGCACCAAUAAGAAACGGUCCGAACAUACUCAAAGCAAGAGAAUGAUUCAACUGAGAGAGUUGUCCUUCUUUGAUGGCUUUUCAAACUUGUGACUGAUUUCAAACCUUUCCUUUGUGAAAUUCUGAUUCCACUCUCCUAUUAGGGUUAAUUGAUUUCUUUUCCUAUUUUACCUUACUGAAUUUAAGGCUAAAACCGUGUCUCACAUCAUAGAAAUAGGAUACACAAAUUUGACCUGCAAGGUCAUGUUUCCACACUUCUUUGUUUCACGCGCGAUCCCAUCAAAAUACUUAUUCCACGUAAAACACCUCUACACUGACGUCCGCCACGAAGGCCCAAUUAAGAAAAAAUCUUUCCCAGCUGUCCGUUGGUUCCUUGAAAUAUAAAACAUUCUGCUAAAACAUAUUCUAACACACAUUACCACUUAACCCGUGGCAUUUCCGACUUAGACCCUAAUGCAAUAGUUCAAAAUCAGCCAACGCUAAAACAACCAGUCUGAAUUUCAGCAUCACAUCCAAUAUAUAACACACCAGCGACUACAAAUCCACCACCACCACCUAGAAUGUACAUCAGAACUCCAUAUAUCACAAAAAUCAUCAAACCUGAUCCCAGUUUCCACCGUGCAAUACACGCACACAUUUGAUACUCCUUUAUUUCAUGAUAGAUACUAGAUAUUUACUUGUUCUUCCGAGAAAACCUGAAUACCACCAGUGUACCCAACAAGGACAUCCUGUAAUACUACUGAAAUAUAAUCAGCUUAAUCACAUUACCUUUUUUCUGAGACUUAUACUCUCAUGAAAUAACAUCCACUUAGCGAUGUCAUUUUCCCAAAUCAUCUGAAGAUCAUUUAUCUAAUAACUUACAAGGAAUCACAACACAUCCCAUGCUCUGCAUGACAUACACAGGUCAUAUUCAAAUUCUUACAAUGCUGACAUGACGGAUGAGGCAUGUACACAUUCAUAUCUACUAUCGAAACAACAAUUCAUUAGUUAUAUACUCUUGGCAAGAACUAUCACCUCAUUCUGAGCCAAACAAUGAUCUUAGCUCUUUAAUUUACUUCACAUACUCAGAUUGCAUUGAUCUCAAAUUCAAUGAUCUCGCCUCGCCCAGCAUGAACUGCUCGGGAAAUAAGCCACUCAAUACAUAAUUAAAAGUCGCAUAUCACUUUACAUACUCAUAUUGCACUAAUCUCAAAUUCAAUGAUCUCGCCUCGCCCAACAUGAAUUGCUCUGGAAAUAAGCUACUCAAGACAUAAUUAAAAGUCGCAUAUGAUGCCCCAAUGUGCCAAUAGGCUACCAGUUCGAACGCAAUACAAAAGAAAACGAGCUCUGGAAGGAAUUGCCAACUCCUACGCACUACUAUAGUCUUUCCUUGUAAAACAGGAAGCAAGUCAUACAAAGAUAGCAUAUAGAAAAUCAAUACUCGAUUUCACACUAUUGCGGCGUGCAACCUGAUCCGGAUAACAUACCCAUGGCGGCGUGCCAACUGAUCCACACAUAGAUCUCACAUAAGGAGAUGCACAUCGAGCCAAAUUUGCUCAUUACUAUAAAAUAUUGAGUAUCGAUCGUAAGCAUGCUUAGUGCAUAAUAAUAUCUCUGAGGGACAUAUAGCUUUAUAAGCUACAAUACUCAAGCACAACUUAGAUGCGAUGUACAAAUCUGAAUUUUCAGGAGCCAAGAUGCUCAUAUAACGUCAUUCCUACAUGGAUUCUCAACACAUAGAAAUUUCUAAAAUCACCUUACAACUCACAUGGAGCAAUGCAUCACUACGCUAAAUAUCUGACAAUGAAACAUCAACUUAACUACUCCUCAAUAAGGACUGCGUCACUAAAAUGCACACAUCUGGUCUGAUAUAGAGCCAUUAUUCACAUUAAAUCUAUUUAUCGACUUCAAGCCGUCUCUGAUCACACUGGACUAGUCUGAUAACCAUUCAAAGAUACCUAAUAACUUACGAUUUCUUCUAAAAACACAAGAACAACUAUCACAAUCGGAGUAAUCCUUCCCAAUUCACAACCCUAUAUGCCAAGUGCCCUCAAGGCAUUAAUCUUCAAUUUAACUACACCAUCACAAAUUUCAUACUUGGUUUACAUCAUUACUCAAUCAAGUGAUCACAUGCCUCACUUAUAUAAUCUUCCCCUGAGAAACACUCCCACAAGUUACCUCAAUAAUAUCUGGAGUGUACCUCCAAAUCACCGGUCGCACAAACGCUAAAGAGUGAUCAAGAAUAUUAACCAGGAUGCAAAACCCUUUUUAUUAAACACCGAUCUUAGGUGACGCUGAAAACAAUUCCAACUUACCGUAAACAUCAAAACUCAUCUCCUGCUCAUCCGAGCUCAUGACAUCUUGUCAGAAAGUUUCUUUCAUUCGUGCCAUUCUCGGCCUAAAUUUCAUAAACAGAGUUGAUUCACCAGCAUGCAUCAAACUCGAACAAAUAUAGAAUAUAAUCGUGCAAUCGCCCUAUUUAAUGGCAAAUUCCCCAACUUGGCUCAAAGCCAUAUAUCAAAACACACUUAUACUCUAUUGCUGUCGUAAUUUCAUGGUGAGAUUAAAGUCCCUCCAUCAAGCUCGUGGAAACACAAAUCAUCAGAAAUUUUAACUCUUCACCAGUUUUUGCAUUCACUCACACAACAAUUAAGCCCAAUCAUUAGGCGACAAAAUUUUACUAAGUCCUAAAAUUUUCAAAAAUUUCGGCAGAGUUUCCUUUGUAGUUGGGCCUAUCCACCUGCCAAAGAAUCACUAAAAACAUCCUAACAAUAAGUCCACAACUUGAAAAAGUAUCACAAUGCAUAUCAAUUACAUAAAUAUCAAUACUACACGUAUUAUACUAUCAAAAUUGAUACAUGGACAUGCGUUGCACCUAUUAGAAUCAUAAUACAUAGAAAGUACCUUUCAACCCUCCAUUAUUGGGAUAUUCAACAAAGUAAGAACAUAUUAUUUCUUUAAAUGUUUUCGACCUUCAAGGUGGUCUCCUUGACCCAAUGAUUUUGUUAUAAUACAUUUACAGAAGCGAUCUUAGCUCCCAAACUUAUCUAACUAGUAUGCAAAUAGCUUCCCUUCAUAAGCCAAUUACCCAUUAACUUUACCUUUAGUUUAUAUUUUUGCUUUCGUCAUAUACAUAUACAUAAGCGAUUUCAGCUCCUAAACUUAUCUAACUAGUAUGCAAAUAGCUUCCCUUCAUAAGCCAAUUACCCAUUACCUUUACCUUUAGUUUAUAUUUUUGUAUGCCUUUCACCGCCAUACACAUUACUCAUCACGUGGAUAUCCAACCGACAUUCCGGCUAAUAAGGACAAUAAUGAACAUCUGAGUUCAAAGCACUUGCUCACAAAAUCAGCUCAAGCUAUAAGCAAAGAUCCGGCCUCAAGUCCUCCAGACUGGCCCAACAUCAACUCACAGAUAUUACAUCUCGCCCCCCCCCCCCCCCCCUUGGGNNNNNNNNNNNNNNNNNNNNNNNNNNNNNNNNNNNNNNNNNNNNNNNNNNNNNNNNNNNNNNNNNNNNNNNNNNNNNNNNNNNNNNNNNNNNNNNNNNNNNNNNNNNNCCCCCCCCCCCACAUUGGGAAAUCACAAACAAUCAAGACACAUCUGAUACUGAGCGCUCACAUGCGCAUACAGUUGCGUGGAAGGAAUUUGAAGAGUUUUAGUUUCAAGCUGAAUGAAGGACGCAUGAUAAGAAUUCAAGAAUGUGAAAUUUUUCCUAAAGGUUCUGCAGCCUCUCAAGGAUAAAUACAGACGUCUCCGUACCGAUCCGCGAGACUCUACUAAACCUACUCAUCACAAGUCACGAGCAUCUAAAUAAUCUAAACACUAAUACAAGACCAGUAAUAUAUAUAAUGGAAUUUAGAAUCAAUGAAGAAAUAUGAUGUCGUGAACGGUGACGGUCACCUUGCUCAGCUACAAUAGUAUACCUUCAGUCGUCUAAUAACUCUCUACCAGAUGUACAGUACCUUCAACUGCGCGCAAGGUGCAGGGAGUAAAGUAAUACUUCCAGCUAAGUGGUAAUAAGAGUAAAUAAUAACUGAAGACAAGAAAUGACGUAAGAGCACUCCACCAUGCAAUAUGGGGCAACACAACCAUUUGAGAAAAACAGUAAGUCUGGGAAAAUUCCUUAGAAAAUAUCUGCCCCAGUUUAAAAUCACUUUCGAAAAUAUCAUUUUUUCCAGCAAAUUAAGCAAGUAAAUGCAGGACAGGUAGUGCAAGUUAGCACGAAUUUCAGCCUCUCGGGCACAAGCAAGUAUGUCUAAUUGAACUCAUAACUCGCCUCUCAGGCAAUAUUCUUACCACUAGUCAGCCACUGUUACCUGACCUAUAUACAUCAUACAGUGUCACUGUUACCACUGUCUAAAAUUUAUCCACUGUUAAAGUGAUCAGACAAUCUCAAAACAACAGAAACAUAUCUCAAGAAAUGACGUGAACAACAAAUAGUGCACAAAAGUAUGAACGCAAUGCAAUUCAUAUGAUGGUACAUUUCAGUACCCACUGUGGCGUGCAGCCCGAGCCAUCCAUAUUUAUUUAUCAUCGACGGCGCUCACUGGGGGUGUGUACAGACUCCGGAGGGGCUCCUAUAGCCCAAGCGCAAAAUCUUGGUUAGUCAUUGUUACCUGACUAGUCAGCCAUUGUUACCUGACCACUUUAUAUCACACAGUGCCAUUGUUACCAUUGUUCCAAGAAUAACAUACAGUGUUAUUGUUAGCACUGUUUCAAGUCACUAUAUAAUUAGUCAAGAAAAUGAUGUAAUAAGCCCCUUGGGAUUUUACAAAAUAGAAGUCUCCAGCUCGAAGUGCAUUUAAAAUGUCAUUCAAGUUUUCAACGCUUAGAAUUAUGGUUGAGUUUGCAAAACAACAUUUAAAAACUUGGACUGAAGUUAGAUGAUAUGCAAAUCAUGCUAAGCAGUAAUAUCAAUCCUCGAAGGAUUUUACAAGUCGGCACAAGGCCCCAAACAUGGCAAUCAGCCAAAUUAUAAUGAUAACAAGUAAUUUCUGUCAUAUACGCAGUAAAAUCAACAACCGGGAUGGACCAAGUCACAAUCACCAAUGGUGCUCUACCCCAUGCUUAUAUCCGGCGUGCAUGUCACCUCAAUACAGGACUAUGAUGUGCAAAUCUAGGGUUUCAAACCCUCAGGAUAUCAUUUACAAGCUUUACUCGCCACGAACCGGUGAAAUCUCUAGCCCGCGACACCUUUGCCCAUCAAACCAGCCUCCACGCGCGUCGAAUCUAACCAUAAUCAAAGCAAAUACAUCACAAUAUGCUAAGGGAACAAUACUCAAUCAAAAACAAUCGAGAAUGUCGAAAUUCAUGAAAUUUGCAAAACCCGAUCCCACGUCUCAAAAUCCAGAAAUUCUUACAUCAAUACAAUUCUUAUCUCGCCACGAGUCUAUUCAUACCAAAUUCACAAAAAUCAGAGUUCAUUUGAGCCCUCAAAUUACCAUUUCUAUCCAAGAAGAUUUUCUACCCUUUUCAACAAAAAAUCUCAAAUUAAACACCAAAACUUACAAUAGAUUCGAGUUAUACAACAAAAAUUGAGUUAAGAACACUUACCCCGUUGUUCUCUAAGAAAACAUGUCCAAAAAGGUUCCCAGACGGAGCUCCAAAUUGCUAAAAAUGGAAAAUGGGAACGAAGUCCCAUUAUCAUAAAUUGAACAUUCUGCCAAAAAUUUCCGAGGUUUAUUGUUCACGGAGGUACUGUUCAAGGAUAUUGUUGACGGGGGUACUGUUUACGGAGUACUGUUCAUGAGUCCCGGCACUGUUCACGCGUGCGGGUCACUGUUCACGCGUGCCGGGUACUGUUCACGCUGCAAAAAAAUUCAGCAGCUGCCCAAAAUAAUUACAGCAGCUUUUAUUUUCACAAAAAUAGAUCUCCGUCGUACGAACUCCGAAUUAGACGAUUUUUGUUCCUAUGUGUCAAAAAUAAUAAUACAAACACAACACUUCAAUAGAAACUAAAUUUGGAGCUCAUUUCAUAGUGCGAUGUCCAUUUCGCUUGUUAAACAAUUACUCAUGUUUCGCGUCAACAACCUAAUUGCGACUUGAUGAAUUUAAACCAAAAUUUCUAGAUCAGUCCUAUAAUUCAUGAUUUAUAUUCUGGAAGUAUUGAAAUGAAAUUUUGAUCUAUAGAACUAAAAAUGAACCUUUAGAUCAUUACAUUUAUGCUCAAAACGGCAAAUAUCUUCCAAAAAGGACCCGUCGACCAUCCGAAACACACCCAAGGCCAUCGGGGCCCCGACCAAUCCCACCAACCAGUUCCAAAAUAUAUUACGAGCUUGCUAGAGACCUAAAAUCACAUUAAACAACGCUAAAAUCAUGGGGCAUCCGAAACAUACCCGAGGCCCCCGGGACCCCGACCAAUAACACAUACCAGUCUCAAAAUACAUUACGCACUUGCUCGAGGCCUCAAAUCACAUCAAGCAAUGCUAAAAUCCUGAAACAACCUCCAAUCCAAGCUUUAUGAACUUUAGAACUUUCAACGUCUAUUUCCAAUGCCGAAACCUAUCAAAUCACGUCGGAUUGACUUUAAAUUUUGCACACAAGUCUAAAAUGACAUAAAAAAGCACCAGCAACUCUCGUAAUUCCAUUCUGACUCCCAGAUCAAAAUUUCACCUAUCAACCGAAAAUCGUCAAAAUACUAACUUCGCCAAAAUAGGCUAACUUCUUCACCUGACCUCCAAAAUUACUUCCGAUUGCACUCCUAAGCCUUAAAUCAUCCUCGAAACAAACCGAAUCAUCGGAAUUCAAUUUCAAGCUCUCUAACUCAUAAGUCAAUGUCUGGUUGACUUUUCCAAACUAAUUCUUCCUUAAAGAGACUAGCUGUCUCAUUUCUUAUCAAAAUCUUUCCAAAUCAAUUCUAAAGCACCCAUACUGGUAAUGGAACAUAAGAAAGCAGAAAAUGGGAAGAAUGAGGUAGUAACUCAUGAGACGACGGGUCGGGUCAUUACAUAAAAUAUAGAGCCUUUUAGCGUAGCAAAAUAUAGAGUCUUUUAGCGUAGUAAAAUAUAGAGUCUUUUAGUGUAGUAUAAUAUAGACCCUUUUAGCGUAGAGCCUCUGUAGUUUUAGUAUGUACUAACUACAAACUCUAUCCAAUUACACUUUAUAAAAUUAAUUAUUUAGUUUAUAAAAAUAAACUUACAAAACUAACAAAUUAAUAGAUGUUGUCAAAUUAACUCAAAUAUCGAACCUGGAACCCGUAGAUAAUUACUCAGUCCAAUUCAAUAAUUAAUUAUUUAAUUUACUAAACUAACAAAAUUGGCAAAAUGUUGAAAUUCACACAUAAUAAUUAGGGAUAAGUUGGCGCUACCGGGCCUCAAAUAUCGAGCCUGGAACCCAUAGAUAAUUACUCAGUCCAAUUCAAUAAUUAAUUAUUUAAUUUAUUAAACUAACAAAAUUGUACAAAUAUUAAAAUUGACACACAUAAUAAUUAAGGAUAACUUGGUGCUACCAAGCCUCAAAUAUCGAGCCUGGAACCCAUAGAUAAUUACUCAGUCCAAUUCAAUAAUUAAUUAUUUAAUUUAUUAAACUAACAAAAUUGUACAAAUAUUAAAAUUGACACACAUAAUAAUUAAGGAUAACUUGGUGCUACCAAGCCUCAAAUAUCGAGCCUGGAACCCAUAGAUAAUUACUCAGUCCAAUUCAAUAAUUAAUUAUUUAAUUUAUUAAACUAACAAAAUUGUAAAAAUAUUGAAAUUAACACACAUAAUAAUUAAUGAUAACUUGGUACUAUCAGGCCUCAAAUAUCGAGCCUGGAACCAUAGAUAAUUUGGCAAGUCCAAUUCAAUAAUUAAUUAUUUAAUUUAUUAAACUAAUAAACUUCUAAAAAUAUUGAAAUUGACACACAUAAUAAUUAAGGAUAACUUGGUACUAUCGGGCCUCAAAUAUCGAGCAUGGAACCCAUAGAUAAUUUGGCAAGUCCAAUUCAAUAAUUAAUUAUUUAAUUUGUUAAAUUUUAAAAAUUUGUAUAAAUAUUGAAGUUGACACACAUAAUAUUAAAGAUAACUUGAUGCUACCAAGCCUCAACAAUCGAGCCUGGAACCCAUAGAUAAUUUGGAAAGUCCAAUUUAAUAAUUAAUUAAUUAUUUUAUUAAACUAAAAAAUUCUAAAAAUAUUGAAAUUGACAUACAUAGUAAUUAAGGAUAGCUUGGUGCUACUAGGCCUCAAAUAGCAAGCCUGGAACCCACAGAAAAUUACUCAGUUCAAUUAAAUAAUUAUUUAUUUCAUUUAUUAUAAUACAAACACACAAUUAAUAUUGUUUAAAUUAUAGUAGAUGACAUGGACUUGCCGCUUGUGCAUCCUGGAUUAAACGAGGAUCAGCUAUUUGUGUUGCAAGGCGACCAUAAGUUCUCCUAUAUAUGGGAGGGACAUCUAACAGAUCAGCCUCUCCGCGCUAGGAGACCUGACGAUUUGUGGGACUUCAUGAGGGGGAGACAUUUCUAUCCACGGAUAGUCGAGUGCCAACAGGCUAGGGCUUAUUCACGAUUUUUUGAAUUAGGCAGAUGUAGCUUGAUUGGUCUCUCAGCACGGCCUUGGUAGAGCGGUGGUGACCGGAGACGCACACUUUUCACUUUCCCACUAGAGAGGCCACCAUCAAGCUUGAGGAUGUUCAGUUUUUGUAUGGGCUGCGCGUAGAUGGACUGGUUGUUGCAUUGCCCUAGUACAUGAGAUCCAUGAAGCAUCCCCAGUUUUUGGAUUAAUGGGCCAGUAUAUUGGUUAUAGACCACAGGGUGAGGCUGCACUUAGAGGGGGCAGUCACGUUUGUUUAUCAUCUAUCAGAGAGCAUAUGGAGGUAUUGCACCCAGACAUUACAGGCGAGACAGAGGCUAUCGAUAUUGAGCGGUAUACAAGGUUAGCACUGCUCCUUCUUUUUGGGAGUGUCUAGUUCCCGAACACUUCAAAAAAUCUAGUGAGUAUGCGCUUUCGGCAUCAUCUACAGCAGUUAGCUAAGUUACCCAUGUACAACUGGGGUGCUAAUAUUCUAGCACACUUAUACAGGAAUAUGUGUUGGGCGAGCAUGGUUUGCCAGGUGGAAAAAUGUGGUUUUCUGCCCCUUCUACAACUAACAACAUUUUCGAAUAUUCUAUUCAUUACUCCGAAUUCCAUAUGGUCGAAAUGACUAUUAAAUUUUACAUCAACCUUUUAUUUUAGGUUUAGGCCUGGCAGUGAUUCCUGCCAUUCCAGCCACCUCUACCACCACUAGAGCCGGGUGAAGCACCUUGUUUCUCCCUCUAGCUAUGAGGUGGGUUCUCCUGCGUGGGAACUACCGAGGGACUGAUGCUCAUCAUAAUCUACCCAUUGUCAGGGAUGUGUUAGAUAUGCUGGUGGUCGGACAGGUAAAUAUGUACCUACACUAAAUUGUUAUAAAUUGAGAUAUGUUGCGCAUACUCACUUUUAUGUUAUUAUUUGGUAGUUUUUCUGGACUCCAUACACUGACAAGUUGCUAGCUUUGUUUCUCAAUUAUUGCUCCAUCGACCGAGUGCUUUGGAGCACUUUCGUCACGAUGAUCUUCUUCGAUGUGGUUGAUCAUCAUGCCACAUAGAGUGUGCUUCAUCUGUUUUACCAUCCCCAGCCUAUAUAGGGGGAGCCUGCAUAGGCGCCUACACAUUAUCAGCGGGUUGACCGUACUAGGGUGGAUGAUGCAUUUGUGAGAUGGCUAGAGCUGCAGGUCCAUAUUUGGGACCAGCGAGAGUACGGUAUUGCUCCACCACCUUCACAAAUCUAGGAGGCUACUAUUGAGCUUUAUAUGUCAUGGUACCUCUGUCACACCCGACUGAUGAUCGGGAACCUCAUUCAUGUACUUGGCGAGCGGUAUAGACCAUACGCCGGGAGGCAUGAGGCAUUGGUAUGUUUUGUGGCUUAUUUGUGACGACCCCACCCAUCGUCUUAUGUGUUACUACUCUGUUUCCCCCUUAUGGUGUUGCUUCAUGUUUCAAUAUCACUAUUAGAGUUGAUCGGGUGUAAUUGAAUUGGUUUUGGUUGAAAAUAAGGCACAAAGCCUCUAAGAAGGAAGUUUGUUUUGCAAAAAGUCAAGUGGAAGUUGACUUGUGAGAUAGAAGGCUCAGAUAUGAUUUUUGAUGUUUUGGUUAGCUUUGGGAGAUGAUUUUUGACUUAGGAGAGCGAUCAGAAUUGAAUUUAAAGGUCCGGUGUAGAAUUAGGCUUGAAUUGGAGAAGUUUGAAUGUUGGCGGAUUCCGGUUGAUAGAUGAGAUUUUGAUCCGAGGGUGGGAAUGGAAUUCCAAGAGUUGCAGUAGCUUCUUUAGGUGAUUUUGGAUAUGUCCACAAAUUUACAAGACUUUCGAACGUCGUUUAGUCGGGUUUUUUAUCGAAUAUGAGUUUUGGAAGUUUUAAGAAAAUUUAAGCUUGAAUUCGUCGUGAUCUGAUGAUUUUUGUGUUAAAGGACGUUUUUUUGUGAUUGGAAAAAGUUUUUAUGUGUUUCGGGGUAUGUUGGUGUCCUUGGAUGAGGUCCCGGGGGCCUAGGGGUGAUUUCGAGUGUUCAAACGGACAAGUUUUGGCCUUGGGAGAGAUCAGAUUUUUGCUGUCAUAUGUUGCAGACCACAAAGCACCGCGAUCGCGUUAGGAGUAACGCGAUCGAAUAGAGUAAUUUGAGGGCCUGGAAUUUUUGUGCAUCGCGUUCGCGUGAAGGCUACCGCGUUCGCAUAAGCCUGGGAUGUUGUGCAUCACGUUCGUGUAGAGAAGGGAUGUUGUGCAUCGCGUUCACAGUAGAAAUGUUGCAUUCACGUAAGAGGGCCUGGGAGCCCAGUUCAUUUAAUGUAUCGCGUUCGUGAUGGUGGUUCUGCGAUCGUGUGAGAGAGGCUUGAUGUGCAUCGCGAUCGCGUAUGGUUAAAGCUAGGCGUCAGAAGGGUUUUUACAUAAUAUUUCAUCCGCGAGCCUAUGUUAUUUUCCUCCAUUGUUGAGCGAUUUUGGAGCUUAGGAGAGCGAAUAAAAGAGGGAUUCGAAGAGAAACGAAUGGAGGUAAGAUCUUUGAACUUAAAACUUGUAUUUAUUGGGAAAUCUACCUAGAAAUGUAUGGGAAUAAGCCAUAAACUGAAGAAACUAGGGCUUGAGUUUUUGAUAUUUCAAAUUGGGAUUUGGUAGGUCAUUUGAGCUCGGGUAUGGAAGUUCUUGGUAUGUAUGAACUCGUGGAGAGAUGAGGAUUCCGGGAUUGUAAGUUUCAUAAUUUUUUGAGAAGCGGGCCCAGGGCUCGGGUUUUGCUAGUUUCGAGGUUCUUGCUAUAUUUCAAUUGGGUGUUGUCCCAUUAGCAUAUUAUGAUAUAUUUGUACUGAUAUUGGUUUGAUCUGAUGCGCGUAGAGGCCGAUUUGAGGGGAAAAAGCGUUGCGAGCUCGAGAUUUCGCCGGUUCGAGGUGAGUAAUACUUGGGAAUGAUAUCCUUAGGGUUUGAAACCUCGGAUUUGCACAUCCUAGUGCUGUAUUGUGGUGACUUGCACGCUGGACCUGAGCGUGGGGUAGAGAACCAUUGGGGAUUUUGAUUUGGUCCAUCCCGGUUGUUGGUUUUUACCGCUAAAUUUGUAAAUAUUUUGUUGUUGUCAUUAUGUCUUGGGCUCAUUGCCGUAUUUGGGUCUUAUUACCGAUUAUUUGAACUCUUUAUGAACUAUCAUCACAGUUUUCCUCACUACUUGAAAGAUUAUUUUAACUCAGUCCAUGUGAUUUAUACGGUUUCAUGAACUCAGCUAUAUUUUCUCAAACUUGGAGAUUUAACUGGUAUUUGAACUACUGUUUGAGCUGAGUAUUAUCAUUUUACGGAUGCCCGAGGGGCUUUUGACUAUUUUGGAAUAAUUGAGGCUGAGGGCCAUACGUGAGGGUAUGAAGAUGCGGUAAGGAGGCUUUCAGGCCUCGAGUGUUGUGUGAGCAUGUGCAUAGUGCAUGGAUUGGACUGCACGCCGCAGUGGCAUAUUACAAGGAUUUGGCUGCAUGAUGCAGCAUUAUGUAUAUUAUUUCUUGGAAACGGUGGUAACUAUUGACACCAUGUAUUGUAAUGGAAACAAUGGAACUAUUGGCACUGUAUGAUAUUGCGCUUGGGCUGAAGGAGCCCCUCCGGAGUCUGUGCAAACCCCUAGUGAGCGUUGUCGACGUUAAAUCAUAUGCAUGGUUGGCUCGGGCUGCACGCCACAACGUAUUCAUGUGCAUUUCAGUGCAUUCAUGCAUUUACUCAUGUUUGUAAUACAUGGCACGACAUUUAGCACUCAUAUAUCAUUGGCAUACAUACUGUUACUUGCCUUGUUGACCACAUACCCUGGUGUUAUAUGUUAAGGAGUGAUGAGCCCGAGAGACUGAUGUUGGAUAUUGUGAAUUGAUAUUGAUCCCGAGGGGCAGGUUUCUGACUAUUUCCAACUUGUUGAAAUUACCUUUGAAGUUGUUGAAAAAGCAUGUUUUAAAAAGAGAGUUUUGAAUUGAACUUGAGAUUUUCUAAAGGGUUGUUCUGUCUUUAUAGCAGUUUGGUGUGCUCAUACGUGUUUUCUUAUCGCUCAGAUAUUAUUCUCAAUUAUUACCAUUGAGUUGGAAUUACUCACUCUACUCCCUGAACUUUGCAUCCAGUUGCAGGUAUUGUUCACCCGGUAGCGGGUUAUUAGCAGGACCAAAGGCCAUAUUCUGGUAGUUGAGCAAGGUGAAUGCCAGCGUUCGCGGCACAAAACUCCAUCCUUGUAUCCCAGUUUUGCCUUGCAUAUAUAUACAUGUUUGGUCCAGUAGUAGUAGUGUCCCAACUCUUUAGAUGCUCGUGACUUGUGACACCCCGGUCGGGUUGUAUUGUGAGGAAAGUUCAUAGUUAAAUUUUAUUAAUUAGUAUUUCCAUUCAUUUAUUCUUAAUAGUUGUUUCAAAAAGGAUUUUGGGUUGUUGGAUGGCCUUGUGUUCACGAGAGGCGCCAUCACGACCGGGUAAAGUAUUUGGGUCGUGACAAGUUGGUAUCAGAGCCUAGGUUACUAGGUCUCACGAGUCAUUAGCAGGGUUAGUAGAGUCUCGCAGAUCGGUACGGAGACAUCUGUAUUUAUCCUCGUGCGUACUUGAUUCAGUUUGAGAUAACUCUUGAAAUUCCUUCCACAUGUCUGUAUGUGCAUGUGAGUGCUCAAUAGUAUAUGUGCCAUGAUGGCUUGUGAUUCCCCAAUCGAGGGGCGAGAGGUAAACUCAGUGAGUUCAUGUUGGGCCAGUCUGGAGGACUUGAGGCCGAAUAUUUGCAUAUGGUUUGAGCACCGAGGUAAUGAUUGGGUGAGCAAGUGUUUAGAACUUAUAUGUUCAGUGUUGUUCUUAUUAGACGAAAUGGCAGCUGGAUAUCCAUGUGAUGCGUAUGUUAGUACCGUUUGGUGUAUCUAUGUGAUCUUGGUAGUGACGAGAGAGUCUGCUGAAUAAUGGAUGAGUUGUCGAGUGUUCGACUCCUAUUGUGAUUUUAUGUGUAGUACGAGUUAUGGGCGCGUGAAGAAUAUUUCAUUUCUCUUAGUUGGCACGUAAGGUACAUUCCAUGUGGCAGUACGAGUAUAGACUCAGAAAGACUAAAUGGCAAUGUAUUACAUGUAUGAUAGUGGAAGGUAUGUGGAGAUAUUGAAACAAGGCGAAGCAGGUGGGUUAUCUCCUGCGGAGGGUUUUGAGAGGUAUGAUCCUUGUGUGUAUGUAAAAUAUCUCAUGUAUAAUUAAAGGGGUAUGUGUUGAAAUUUGAGAAUUUGGGGACAUUUAAGAAAUAGACUCAAUUGUUGUUAAAAUGCAUGUGAGAUUUGCAGAGAAUGUCGGUGCUAGAUGAUCUGUGUAUUCACAAGGCUUGUAAAUGAUUUGAAUUUGAUCUCAUUGUGUCAUCAUUAGAGUAUAAGUGUUAUGAGUUGUUAAGAGUGCCUUAAUAUAUGGCUUCUAGCCAAGUUGGGGAGGUUGCUGUUGAAUCUCAUUGUGGCAUCAUUAGAGUAUAAGUGUUAUGAUUUGUUAAGAGUGCCUUAAUAUAUGGCUUCGAGCCAAGUUGGGGAGGUUUUUGUUGGUCAGCUGAUGACAUGGUUAUGUGCCAUGGUGGCUCCAUUUUAGGUAGGAUGGCGGAUUGGACCUGGUAACAGGAAUUGAGACGAGAAUGGCGCAUGUGGAGGAAAAUUCUGAUAAGGGAUAUAUGGUGCUUCGUAGAUGUGAAGAAAUACUAGGAUGUUUGAAACUGCUAUUGAUAAAGAAUGCUCAGUGUAUAGGGAAGGAAAAUGGUUGUUUAUAUCUAUAUGAUAUCAUGUUCUGCGGUGUCAGAGUACUAAUAAGGCACGAGUGUUUCCGUUCUUUUAAUGCAGGUGAAUUACAGCUGAAUGAGAGUGAAUAACUCUCUAGAAUGGUUUUACUAUGUCCAAGAUUUUGCAUGAAACAAUCAGGUUUCUAAAGUUUGUGUAUGUGGCUAGAGACUGUGUCUGCAUUAGAAAGGAUCAAGACUUGUGGUACUUUAUGUUAAUCAAGGGAUUCUAUGUGUCUGUAUUUGGAAGGUAAUGGUAACGAAUUCAGAUUUGCAGGAAGUUCUUCAAGGUAAAGCAUUAUAGAAUAUGAUAUUUAUGGGAAGCGUUUCAGAGGGGUAUUCAGUGGCCUAAUAAUGGUAACGAAUUCAGAUUCGCAAGAAGUUCUUCAAGGUAAAGAAUUUCUGAAUAUGGUAUUUCUUGGAAGCGUUCGAGAGGGUAUUCAGUGGCCUAGGGGUCUUAUGUGCGACUCUAGUGAGGUAACCUGAGUUGAGAUAUUGUGGUGCUAAAGAAAGGGAGAAUAUCAAAUUAAUGAUGAAUCAUGAAGGAAAUGAGAUAAAUGUAAUAACUUGAUAAUAAACCAAGUCGGCAUGAUAAGAAUGUGAUUUAUCCUUUGUAUGGGUUCAAGGUAAUGAGUCUUACAGGUGUUGUGCAGCAAAUCUUUUAAGUGUUGGCAGUUUGCUUAACUUAAUCUGGAUAUAAGGACUUAGUCCUGGCAGUUAGCUUGUGUAAUGGAAUUGGAAGAAAGAGUACUUGAUGUGUUUUACCAUAGUUUGAAAAUGAGCAUGUUAUCCUAGUAUGGUAUAGUCUGUGUGUUAUGAUAUGGAGAAUUGAGAAUUUCGGGUUCAAGGCUUUGGUUCAGUUCAUAAUAGGAAAUCAUUGAAUUCUUGAGUAGCACGGUCAGCUAUAGGUGAGUAAAGAAUCGAUAUUCAGAUGAUUAAGGUGAUGUAAAUUGAUGAUACGUUAGUAGUAUUUCGACAUUUUGUUUUUGUGGGAUUGACUGCGAAUAUUUGAGUAUUUUGACGGCACAGGAAAUUUUGAAUAUCUUUCGUGGUAUGAAUGGAUACUUGAUAUGUGUUAUGUAUUCGUACGGCUGAGUGUGAGAUCAGGCAUAGUGAUUCAUGCGUUAUAUGUGUUGGAGACUAGAAGUUCUCGUGAUCUGACCAUGCGGUGGUUUUGGGUCGUGUGUAUCGACAUCUUCUAGUAGUUGUUGAAAACUGGAGGUCUGAGUGGAUCUUUAUUUGCUUGGUAUGUUAAAAUUGGGUUAUGAUGUUUGAUGGCAGACUGGUUGUUCCAGGGUCAGAUUGUCUAGACUAAUGUGUUAUGGGCUAUGUCAGGAAAUGCCACAGGCUGCGUGGCAAGGUACAUCUACGCUCUAGCAGGGAAGCUUGUAUUCCAAAGUCCAGCGGACGGCUGGCAAGUAUUGCUUUGACUACCAUUGAUUCAGUUCCAGUAUUAACGGACUUUCCGGAUGCGUUUCUUGCGGCCGGGUAUGAGGCUAUAUAUGUUAAUUGUAAUGAGCAAAUUUGACUCGAUGUGAAUCUUCUUUUGUGAGAUAUAGGUCCGAAUUGGGUAGCACGCCGCCACAGGUAUGGCAUCUUGAUUGGGUGGCACGCCGCCACGGGUAUGGUAUCUGGAUCGGGUGGCACGCCGCCACGGGUAUGUUAUCUGGAUCGGGUUGCGCGCCGCAACAGUGUGAUGUAGAGAAUAGUUUUCCUAUAUAUUACUUUGUAUGCCUUUUUUUUAAUACCAAAUUUAACUGAUAUACUUAAACCCAGUAUCAUUAAAAGCAAGCUAAAAUUGAAAAUGUGAUGCCAAUCCACAUAAUUGUUAUUAUCUCUAUAGCUUGCCAUCUUGUAAUUGCAAUGUCACCUUUCCUUCCUCAAGGGAAUGAGCACGAAGUUCUAAUACCACCCAUAGAGGUCGUAUCGAGUGGAAUCACAUAAAUACGAUGGUGCGAUCUAUGUAAUAGACUUGAGUGUAAUUCACCUUCUCUCUUAAUUGCCCAGGUGUUCCAGAAACAGCUGUUCCUACGGACCUUCCCGCAAAAUCCUCACGAUUCAAAUUAAAACAGCGCUUUUUAUCAUGUUUCUGACGCUUGGCAUGCGCCAGAAUCUUCAUCCCUUGACUGCUAUUUGAUUUUUUCUCUUGUAUCGAAAUCCCAAAAGCAUGCACAUCAUGCAUUUCUGCUUUUACAUGUGAGGAACACGAUUCUCUAGCAACUUUGUACUCCAAUUCCCUAAAUCAACAGUUGGAUUACUGUUUCGCGAGACUGAAGGCUUGACAGGCGUGCUAAGCUAUUUUCCUAAUUUCCAGGAUCAUGCUUGCUAAUUUCGACGAUGGUGUCUCAAUUGCGAGACCAGCGUUCCAACGAUUCAAAUUUGACUGGCUGACAUUAGUGCUCCCCAUGCAUAUCCAGCAUGUGUAUAUUAAAUACGCUGGUGGCAGGCGUGCGAGACAAAUGCUGGACUGAUGGCUGGAGAGGCGUGCUGAAGUUAAUCUUUUUUCCUAUUUUCUAGGAUCAUGCAUGCAAGUUCCAAAGAUGGUGUCUCUACACGUGCGAGACAAUGUUGAACUGAUGAGAGGGGCAUGCGAGAGUUGAAAUUUUUUUCCAAUAUUCCAAGAUCAUGCGUGCAAUUUCAAUUCCAUUUCUCGAUUGAAGACUGAAGCUAGCUGUUGCAAUCACUUGCUUGAAUACCGUGACCCUUGUACUCUUUCAACACCGAAGCAACAUGUGUGACAGCUUUAAUGAAAAGUUGUUGGAAACACAUCCAUCAAAAUCAACAAUGUUGGCUGGAAUUUCCAGGUGAUGAUGCGAUUUUGUUGAUGGUUCCACGAUCGAUUUAAUGAAAAUUUGUUGGAAACACAUCCAUCAAAAUCAACAAUGUUGGCUGGAAUUUCUAGGUGAUGAUGCGUUUAUGUUGAUGGUUCCUCCCGUCGAGACUUCCAUGUGUUGUAUCUCUAAUUAGAUACAAGAGACUUUGGACUCUUUUACCUACAAAAUGAAACAAACGUUAGUGAGUGUCGUGAUGCCCUUACAUCCCUCAGUUUCCUUCCCUAGUUUCUUGCCACUCUUAUUCUCAGUUUUGCACAUUGAAGCUUAUCAUCAUUUCCGAUCUUUCUGCUUAGGACAUAAAGUUCCAAAAAUUCAAAACACACGAUGUUGCCAGUGUCUAGAUAUCUUUCUGCUCAAGACAUCAAGUUCUGAAAAUUCAAAACACAUGAUGUUGCCAGUGUCUAGAGCUUGGUUUGCAAGGUAGUCUGCUAGAUUGUUUCCCUCCCUGAAAAUAUGAGAUACUUUGAAGUUACAUCCCUCUUUGAGAAUGUUAAUUUCCUCCACCGCGUCCAUAAUAUUCCAUGGCGGUUUCCAUUUUCCAUCUAUUAUCUUUUGAAUCAUCAUUGAGUCUGUCUGAAGCCAAACAUUUUUAUAUUUCAUUGAAUUGCAAAUUCUCAAUGCCUCCACUAGUGCUAUUGCCUCCGCUUCAUUAUUAGAGCCCUCCUUAAUUUCUCUUCCUUCUGCAUAUAUCAAGUCGCCUCUCUCAUCUCUUAAACAAAACCCAAUUGAGCUUCUCCCUCGAAUCCCUCUACAUGCUCCAUCAGUAUUCACUUUUAUCGAGCCUCUUGGUGGGAAUUCCCAUAGCACUUUAUCGAACUUCAGACGGGGUGAAUAUUGGUCCAGCGUAGUUAGAAGAUCAAUCCACUUGUUAGGUAUAUGAAGUCCUGGUUUUUUCAGUUGUACUAGUGAUUGUAGCGUUGAUGAAAUUAGGUAGAUAACUCUACUUACUGACACUGCUUCGCCGUAUUUCAAACUUUUUCUUCUCUUCCAUAACUCCCGUGUUAGGAAGUACCUCCAUAUAGUCGAAGCUGCAUUGGAUGUGAAGAAUAGAUGAGCUAGAGACUCCUCCUUAGAAUCAGCACAACACCAACAUUUAGAAGCGAUUGAGUAUCCUAUUCUACGCAAGAAAUCAUCAAGUGGAAAUUUUGCUUUCCACACCUUCCACAAAAAGAAAGAUAUCUUGAAAGGUAGGCCUUUGACUCAUAUCAUCCUGUAAGUUAUCCUUGGAUUUUCUCUUCUUCUCGAGUAAUCCCAUGCAGUUUUUACAGAGAAAUGUCCCUUUGGUUCAAGCAUCCAGACCGGAAUAUCAAACUCUGCACAUUCUUUUGGUGGAGUAAUAUUCUGCACAAUGUGAUUAGCCCACUCUUCAGGUAAAAUUUGAAAUAAUUUUUCCACAUUCCACAUACCAUUUUCAAUCAAACCAUUGACAUUUUGUAUGUUUUCAUCAAUAGGGAAUGUUGUUGGCAUUUGGAAAUAUAAUGCUCCCAUCUAUGUCCAAUUGUCGAACCAAAAUUGAGACGAUCCCAUUCUCAAUUUCCAGUAGAUUUGAUGCUCUAUCAAGUCUCUGCAUUGAAGCAUUUUCUUCCAAACGUGGGAUCCACCCUUCCAAGGUACUGUUAUUGGAUUUUAUUUCUUGCAAUACUUUUGACACAUGAAUGCACUCCAUAGACUGGGUUUUGUUCUAAAAUUCCACCACAAUUUGCAGAAAAGUGCCUUGGAUACAUCAUGAAGGGAUCUGAAACCUAUACCCCCUUAUCCCAUUCUCAAUUUCCAGUAGAUUUGAUGCUCUAUCAAGUCUCUGCAUUGAAGCAUUUUCUUCCAAACGUGGGAUUCACCCUUCCAAGGUACUAUUACUGGAUUUAAUUUCUUGCAAUACUUUUGACACAUGAAUGCACUCCAUAGACUGGGUUUUGUUCUUAAAUUCCACCCCAAUUUGCAGAAAAGUGCCUUGGAUACAUCAUGAAGGGAUCUGAAACCUAUACCCCCUUCCUCNNNNNNNNNNNNNNNNNNNNNNNNNNNNNNNNNNNNNNNNNNNNAAUACCCCCUUCCUCAUAAGGCAUACAUAGGUUAGUCCAUGAUGACCAAUGUCUUGAAUUUCCUCCCACAUUACUGCUCCAGAAAAAUUUUGCAAAAAUCCUAUGUAAUUUGGAAAUGACAUAGUUAGGAGGAUUAACUGCUGAUAACAUAUGAAUUGGCAUACUCUGCAAAACAUUUGCGAUCAAUACAGCCCUGCCGCCUACCGAAAGGAGAUUUCCUUUCAACGACUGCAGUCCCUCCAUAACCUUUGUAAUUAAUGCCUGGUUGCAUAAAAUAUAGGACAUCCAAGAUAUGUCAUUGGGAAACAUUUCCUAUACCAGUAAUCCUUUCCACCUUGUUAAUCACCUCAUCUUUCGUUGAAUGAUGCAGAUAUAUGGCUGAUUUGGCUUUAUUAACCAAUUGACCAGAUGGUGCUUCAUAAGCUUGCAGAACCUCCAUCACAAGUGUCAAAUACUUUUCAUUUGAUGAGCAGAAAAUGAUUGUAUCAUCCGCAUAAGCCAGGUGGUUUAUUUUUGGGCUCCGUGUAGGAAGUUUAAUUCGCCAGAAGAACCGGUUAUUAUGCAGUGAGUUCAAACCUCUAGACAAUGCUUCUGCUGCUAGAACUAAUAAGGUAGGUGACAGAGGGUCUCCUUAUUUUACUCCCCUAGAUGCUUUGAAAAAACCAUUUGGCUGUCCAUUUAUUAGAAUAGAAUACCAGUUAUUCCCAAUCAAAUCGUAUAUCAAGCCAAUAAAAUCUUUAGGAAAUCCCAUAUUCCUUAGCACUUUUGUCAGGAAAAGCCAUGACAAUCUAUCAUAAGCUUUUGUCAUAUCUAGCUUUAUCACCACAUUUGGACCUGCUUUAUUUCUUACCCUGAUAUCCUUAAUGAUUGCUUGAGUUAGCAGAACAUUCUCUACGAUAUUUCUUCCCUUCACGAAACGUGCCUGCUCCUUUGUGAUUAUGUUUGGUAAUAGUUCCACCAACCUUUCAUGAAUGACCCUUGAGAAAAUCUUGUUAACAAAGUUACUAACACUAAUAGGUCUCAUGUCUUUGAAGUUAAUCACUUCUUUUUUCUUUGGUAGUAAAACCAGGUUUGUGUGCGUCACAUUCUUUGGUAGCUGGUGACCGAAGUAGAAAUACUUGACCAUGCCGACCACAUCUUCUUCAAUGAUCUCCCAGCAUGAUUGGUAGAAGGCUCCCGUGAAACCAUCUGGACCGCCUGCAGAAUCCCCAUUCAGCCACAUUACCACUUUCUUCACUUCCUCAUUCGAAGGUAAGGCCAUCAAACUCUCAUGUUGACCAGUAUCUAUCAUUGGAGGUACAUGUUUUAAAAUAUCAAAAUCAUUGGGAAAAGACCUCUAAGUAAAUAACUCCUUGUAAAAUUUUACAGCUUCCUCUGCUAUUUUUUGAUCUUCUUCAAUCCAAUUACCAUCACUAUCCUGGAUUCUUGUUAAUCUUAGUCUUUUCCUUCUGAAAAGACCUCUCAGUAAAUAACUCCUUGUAAAAUUUUACAGUUUCCUCUGCUAUUUUGUGAUCUUCUUCAAUCCAAUUACCAUCACUAUCCUGGAUUCUUGUUAANNNNNNNNNNNNNNNNNNNNNNNNNNNNNNNNNNNNNNNNNNNNNNNNNNNNNNNNNNNNNNNNNNNNNNNNNNNNNNNNNNNNNNNNNNNNNNNNNNNNNNNNNNNNNNNNNNNNNNNNNNNNNNNNNNNNNNNNNNNNNNNNNNNNNNNNNNNNNNNNNNNNNNNNNNNNNNNNNNNNAAAUAUCAAAAUCAUUGGGAAAAGACCUCUCAGUAAAUAACUCCUUGUAAAAUUUUACAGCUUCCUCUGCUAUUUUGUGAUCUUCUUCAAUCCAAUUAUUAUCACUAUCCUGAAUUCUUGUUAAUUUUAGUCUUUUCCUUCUCCCAUUAACCUGAGCAUGAAAAAGUUUUGUGUUUCUAUCACCAUCUUUGAACCACAACAUGUCUGCUUAUUGUUUCCAAAAUAAUUCUUCUAAAGCAAGAUAUUUAAGCAUUUCAGCUUGAACCUAUCGUAAUCUUUGUCUGUUUAUCUGAGUAGGAUUAAUUUCAAAUUGAUUUUCAUGAAUCCGUACCACUUGUGCACCAAUUUUAAAGUCAACUGUUGAUUCAUAUUAUACAGAAUAUUAACUGCUAAAAUUUCAUCAAUAAAUGCCCAAAUUUUGUUUGACACAUUCACCACAGCUUGAGCCAAACCAAUUCUUGCUUUAUAUCUCUCGAUUUUGUGAGACUGCUGCAUAGGUUCAAUGAUUCCUAUGAAUUGUAAAUGAUGUUUCCGAUGCAUUGUAACCAGCCUCUGAAAUGCUUGCAUUGUAUUUACUAGUCUCACGUUCCAUGUAUGCAUACAUUAGAUGUUUUUGUGUUUGGACAGAGUGCUCCUUGUUUUUACUCCUUUGGUCUGUGUUGGAUCUAUGGUAUUGAUAUUUCCCUCUGAUUUCUUUUUUGUUUCUGAAUUUGUGCAUUCCAUUGUGAUUUGGAUAUCAUUUGCAUUAUCAAUGCCUUUAGCCCUUUCAUCCUUGUUUUCCAAGUUUUUUACUCCCAUUUCAUCCUCACUAUGCAUCAAAUCUGGAAUUUGACCAUCUUGUAAGACUUCCUCUGUUACCAAUUCUUUUUCUUUGUUGUUUGCUAAUUGUUGCUCAUUAUUAGGGUUAUUUGGAGAACAAUAAUGACUAAAAACAGCCUGAACCCAUUGUUUAGUUGAAAGAAUAUAGAUAUGAUGCUCUUUCCCCAUCCCUUGUUGUAUACCAACUGGAUUCUUUUGUUGAUUGUUGGCUGACUGUCUUUUGGACGAGCUUGGAGAUGUAUUCUUUUGUGCUAUUUGUGAAGCUGAUGCUUGCACUUCAUGUUCCUUUAUCCUAUUUUCCACAUCUGUGUGCUGAAUCUCCUUGUUGUUUUUGGAUUUUUGAACCGUGUGUUCCUCUAUGACUGCUAGUUGGUUUCCUACAUUUUGCUCAUCAUUUUCCUUUUGUAGCACUUUAAAUUUGUUGGUAGUAUGGAUUUGUUUAUUGAAAUUGAGAUUGUUACCAAGUAUUUCUUUGCUUUGUGAAACUGAGACUUCAGUUUGUUUUUCUUUGUUUAGAGUCCAAUUGUCAUGGAUCUCCUUCCAUUGAGGAACUUGGAACCAACUAAUUCUUUGCUUUGUGAAACUGAGACUUCUGUUUGUUUUUCUUUGUUUAGAGUCCUAUUGUCACAGACCUCCUUCCAUUGAGGAAAUUGGGGAGCCUUAGGAUCCCCAUUCUGUCUCAAACCAUCUUUUACCAAAGUAUGUUGUGUAGCUGAAUCAAUUGGACCAACACUUUCCUUCGAGGCUGCAUUAUUGUGCGCUAUCACUCUUUUGGAAACUUUGUUACCAUUAGAUAGUCCCUAGCAUCCCCUUGCAGUUUGACAACCUCAUCCUCCUCUAGUCCAGGUUUUUCAUUUUUAAAUCUGCAACUCUUCUCCUCGUGUCCUUGAUGUUUGCAAUAAGCACAAUAUUUAGGAAGGUUAUCGUACACAAUUUGUUGAUGUAACUUGCAAGAUUUUCCUGAAAUAGAAUCUAAAAUAUGCAGUAUGACCUUUUUAGGGUGUUUAUCCAACAGAUCUACUAUAACCUUUACUCUUGCCGCACUAGGUCUCGAUCUGUCCUGUGUCGCCUUGUCAACAGCAAGAGGUUUUCCAACAGCUGAUGCUAUUGACAGUAAAGACCUCUUAGCAAAUAGAUUUGGUGGUAAACUUGGGAGAGAAAUCCAUACAACUGCCUUCGAUGUCUCCUCCUUCAGAUUGAAAUCGAAGACCAUGGGAAUGUUCUGAAAAAAUAUUCAUCGCCUUUGGAUUUAAGGUAUCCAGUCGACUUUUAUUUUAGUGCACAAACUAUUUUACUAUGGUCUAGAUACCACAAAAAUCACUUUCACUAGAUUUUAUAAAACUUUCUUAAGAAAUAUUCGUCGCCUUUGGAUUUAAGAUAUCCAGUCGACGUUGAAAGGAAGUGAAAAUAAUCAUUGAAAAGAUUGAAUCUGACCAAAAGAUCCCUAAAUUCCAGCAAUCCCACAUUGCAAUGACCUUUAACAUCAAAUUGCGACGAAAAAAGUCUUCGCACUUCCGAUAUAUCAGGUCUGCCAUAAGAAAAUUUUAAAAAAACUGCUUGGUCCAAACCUUCCUCUCUGGUGAAGUUGUUGACGUCUUCCAUAGUGAAUUGAAUUACUGGAUCCUCAUGGUCGAAAUUAACUGUGCAUAGCUCGAUUUUUGACUGAACAGGUUGUUUAUCUUGAAUAAUUGCAGCAUAUGAUGGCUUUGAACCUUGUGUUGAAUCUGAUGGAACAUUAUUUUUAUCACUCUCACCCACAGUCAAAAACUGGGGAGAGAUCUGCGCAGCCAUGGCUGUCAAACACAGUCAAAGUUUAAUUGCUCCAACUUGCAUCCAUUAUUCAAAACAGCAGAUAAAAAUAGGGAAACAAUUCCAAAAUUCUUCAAGCUACAGUGAAUUGAUUUAAUUUAAGAUCUUGAAGAAAUGGAUACUGAUUUGGAUAAGAAAAGAUAUGGGUAUGAUCCCAAAGAAAACUGGAAUAAUAUGACACCACAAUUGCUAGUAUCUACUGCCGAAAAUUUAUCCGAUGAAUAGUGACGGAAUCACUAUUCACCCAAUGAAUAGUGAGAAGAUUACCCUUCUUCUCUUAGAGAGAAGUCAGAGAAAUUUUAUAGAGAGAGAAUCCCACACCAUCAUGUGUGCCUAGUUGCUAUUUUUUAAUAAUUGAUUAGUGAGUAAAGAAUGUGUUUUUGAUUGGAACAAGUUCGAAUGAUGUUUUGGCGUAUAUUGGUGUCCUUGGUUGAGGUCCUGAGGGCCUCGGGGAGAUUUCGAGUGUUCAUACGGUUUAGUUUUUGCUUUGGGAGAGAUCAGAUUUUUGUUGUCGUAUGUUGCAGACCAUAAAGCAUCGCGAUCACGUGAGGAGUAACGCGAUCCCGUAGAGUAAUUUGAGGGCCUAGAAUUUUUUUGCAUCGCGUUCGUGUAAGCUUGGGAUGUUGUGCAUCGCGUUCGCGUAGAGAAGGGAUGAUGUGCAUCACGUUCGCAGGAGAAAUGUGCAUUCGCGUAAGAGGGCCUGGGAGACCAGUUCAGUUAAUGCAUCGCGUUCGUGAUGGUGGUUCCGUGAUCGCGUGAGAGAGGCUUGAUGUGCAUCGCGAUCGCGGGCAAGUAGGGCGUCAGAAGGAUUUUUACAUAAUAUUUUAUCCGCUAGCCUAUGUUAUUUUUCUCCAUUGUUGAGCGGUUUUGGAGCUUGGGAGAGCGAAUUAAAGAGGGAUUCGAAGAGAAAUGAAUGGAGGUAAGAUCUUUGAACUUAAAACUUGUUUUCAUUGGGAAAUCUACCUAGAAAUUCAUGGGAAUAAGCUAAUAAUUGAAGAAACUAGGGCUUGAGUUUUUGAUAUUUCAAACUGGGAUUUGUAGAUCAUUUGAGCUCGGAUUUGGGAGUUCUUGGUAUGUAUGAACUCGUGGCGAGAUGAGGAUUUCAGAAAUGUAAGUUUCGUAUUAUUUUUUAGAAGCAGGCUCGGGGCUCGAGUUUUGCAAGUUUCGAGGUUCUUGCUAUAUUUCGAUCGUUUUCGAUUGGGUGUUGUCUCAUUAGCAUAUUAUGAUAUAUUUGUACUGAUUUUUGUUAUAUUUGACGUGCGUGGACGCUGAUCUUAGGGGCAAAGGCAUCACGAGCUCGAGAUUUCGCCGGUUCGAGGUGAGUAAUACUUGGGAAUGAUAUCCUGAACGUUUGAAACUGAGGGUUUGAAACCCUGGAUUUGCACAUCCUAGUGUUGUAUUGUGGUGACUUGCACACUGGACCUGAGCGUGGGGUAGAGCUCCGUUGGGGAUUGUGACCUGGUCCGUCCCGGUUGCUGGUUUUUAUCGCUAAAUUUGUAAAUGUUUUGUUGUUAUCAUUAUGACUUGGGCUCAUUGCCGUACUUGGGUCUUAAUACCGAUUAUUUGAACUAUUUAUGAACUAUCAUCACAGUUUUCCUCACUAUUGAAAGAUUAUUUGAACUUAUUUCAUGUGAUUUAUACUGUUUCACGAACUCAGCUAUAUUUUUCUCAAACUUGGAGAUUUCACUGGUAUUUGAACUACUGUUUGACCUGAGUAUUACCGUUUUAUGGAUGCCCGAGGGGCUUUUGACUAUUUUGGACUGAUUGAAGCUGAGGGCCAUAUGUGAGGGUAUGAAGAUGUUGUAAGGAGGCUUUCAGUCCUCGAAUGUUGUGUGAGCAUGUGCAUAUUUCAUCGAUCGGACUGCACGCCGCAGUAGCAUAUUGCAUGGAUCAAGCUUCACGCCGCAGCAUUAGGUAUAUUAUUUCUCGGAAACAGUGGUAACUAUUGACACCGUGUAUUGUAAUGGAAACAAUGGUAACUAUUGGCACUGUAUGAUAUUGCGCUUGGGAUGAAGGAGCCCCUCCGGAGUCUUUAAACACCCCUAGUGAGCGCCGGCGACGUUAAAUCAUAUGCAUGGCUGGCUCGGGCUACACGCCGCACUGUAUUCAUGUGCAUUGCAUUGCAUUCAUGCAUUUACUCCUGUUUGCACUAUGUUGCACGACAUUUAGCACUCAUAUAUCAUUGGCAUACAUACUGUUACUUGCCUUGUUGACCAGAUACCCUGGUGUUAUAUGUUAAGGAGUGCUGAGCCCGAGAGGCUGAUGUUUGAUAUUGUGAGUUGAUAUUGAGCCCGAGGGGCAGGUUUCUGACUAUUUCAUACUUAUUGAAAUUACCUUUGAAAUUGUUGAAAAGCAUAUUUUAAAAAGAGGAUUUUGAAUUGAACAUGGGAUUUUCUAAAGGGAUUUUCACAGUAUUUCAGUUUUCUAAAAAAGGGUUGUUCUGUCUUUAUAGCAAUUUGGUGUGCUCAUACAUGUUUUCUUAUCGCUCAGAUAUUAUUCUCUCUUAGUACCACUGAGUUGGAAGUACUCACUCUACUCCCUGCACCUUGCGUGCAGUUGCAGGUAUUGUUCAUCCGGUAGCGGGUUAUUAGAAGUACCAAAGGCCAUAUUCUUGUAGUUGAGCAAGGUGACCUCCAGCAUUCGCGGAACCACACUCCAUCCUUGUAUCCCGGUUUUGCCUUGUAUAUUUAUAUAUGUUUGAUCCGGUAGUAGUGGUGUCCCUACUCUUUAGAUGCUCGUGACUUGUGACACCUCGGUCAGGUUGUAUUGUGAGGAAAUUUCAUAGUUAAAUGCUAUUAAUUAGUAUUUCCAUUCAUUUAUGUUUAAUAUUUGUUUUAAAGAGGAUUUUGGGUUGUUUUCUGGCCUUGUCUUCACGAGAGGCGCCAUCACGACCUGGUAUAGAAUUUGGGUCGUGAAAGAAAUGAGGCCAGAGCACAAAGUGCUUUUUGAGUUUGUCAACAAAUAUCUUCUGCCUAGACAGGAGAAAAGGCAUACAACAAAUGCUGUUUCAAGGAGGAUUUUGGGUUGUUGGCUGGCCUUGUCUUCACGAGUGGCGCCAUCACGACCGGGUAUAGAGUUUGGGUCGUGACAUUAUUAAUAUCUUAUAAUUGUGAUAUAGUGUUAUUUAUUCAAUAUUUUAUAUGUUUCAUAGGCUAUUGGCAUCACCUGGUCUUCCACUUAGGACAGGAGAUGCAGCAGCAUGGCGACAGUGAUGCACUUGUUGAGUAUGACCGGCGGGUGGAGGAACUGGCUCAUCGGACCCUGUAUCAAGCGAGAGAUGGCGCGAGGUUCGAUCACAAGGGUGAGUAUGCGGUUCCAGAGAAGUACCAUUGGGGUAGAGUUGUCCCACAAGGUAGGGUAGGGCACGAGGAAAGGGCGCCCCACGAGGUAGGGGUGCCCCACAGAGUCGCCGGGGACGGCGAGGAGGUGGUUCCCAGUAAGGGGGAAUUGAGGCACAUGCCGACGCACCUGUUGAGGCACAUGAUGAGGAUUUUGGUGAUGACGAUCUAGGAGAUGAUCAGUCGGGUUAUUUGCCUCAAGUAAAUUAGCCUUCCAGCAACAUGUAAUAGUACAGCCUUCAACUAUCUCUGCCAGCAUCGAAGGUCACCCCGGCAAAUACAUUGUUGAUCAUGGGUACAUUGGACAGGAAUGUAGACCAGUUCUUUUCAGGCCCAUCUACCGCAGCUGAGGAUCGUCCAAGAGGUAGGGGUGCCCCACGGAGUCGCGGGGGAUGGCGAGAGGUGGUCCCCAGCAAAGGGGCGUUGAGGCACCUGUCGACCCACCUGUUGAGGCACAUGAUGAGGAUUAUGGUAAUGAGGAUCUUCGAGAUGAUCAGUCGGGUUAUAUGCCUCAGGUAGAUUAGCCUUCCAGCAGCAUGUCGUCGUACAGCCUUCAACUAUCUCUACCAGCAUCGCAGGUCACCCCGUUAAAUACAUUGUUGAUCAUGGGUACAUUAGACAGGGAUGUAGACCGGUUCUUUUCAGGCCCAUCUACCACAGUUGAUGAUCGGUCGAACUGAGAUGUAGAUGGCAGGUGCAGGUUGAGUUAUGCAUCAUCCCCGGCGGUUGAUGCGGAUCUACCACGGGCACAUGUAUGUUUGUACUUCUGUAAAAUUUUAAUUUGUUUUCUUUUCCUUAAUGAUUUACUAUAAAUAAUAUUUAAAUUUAUUAUUAGGGAUUUGUCCCAGCCUAUCAUGGAUGACACUGUAUGCGCUGAUGAGGACACCACAGAUGCAUAUACUCAGGAGGCCGAUGAGACCAUGGUAAGAAAAUGUUUUUGAUUUAACACGUACAGUACUAAUACAUUUUCACAUGCUAAGCUUAGUACUUGUUUUGUAGGUUUUUGACGGCCCAACGGCCUCUUCUACUGAUCCUGCCGGUUGUACUGUAGAUGUUGUUGCACAUCCUCACAUAAAGAGGUGACUUGAUGAUGAUGAUCCAGAUAGUAUACUCGGGCGAAAGGGGAUGCGACUCAGGCUAGCAAAACACUUAAGCACACAGGCUGCGGGACUCAUUGAUUUACUUUUCUUUGUACUUUUUGUAAAUAUUACAUUAUGUAAAUAAUGGAAACAAUUCUAUUUUAACGGAAAUUUUGUUUUAACUGUGGGUGAACAACAACUUUAUAUUAACAGUACAAUACAAACACAAAUAUGGAAAACCUAACAAACACAAACAAUACAACUAAUGAAAACACAUAAGAAGGGAAACACUUGACAACACAAACAGUACAGCACAAACGCUCAACAUGUACAUGCCAUUGUUUAGCCACGACCAUCUACUAUUCUCUGCUCCAGCCACUUGAACUGGUCUUCCACAUUAUUCUUCUCACCAUCCACCUCAUUUAGUUCACCUUCAACUCCUCAAUUUCUUGCUUGGAUUGGCGCUCUCUGUCCCACUACCUCGUACGCAGAUUAUGAAGAUGAUACAACUUGUCUUUGUAGUAUUCAUGCUCACAUGGUUCAUCAAUCCAUGCCUUAAAAUUGCAUGUAGAUACGUCGGGUUGCUUAUUAAACUUGUUCAUACAUGCCUAAUAGCGGCGUCCAGCUUUUUCCCAACGAUGGUACAUCAAGCUUUUGAUUCUGCAGUCGCAUCUUGGGCAAUAAAGGGUUGUCGAGACAUUUAUUAAAGAAAAACUUUGGUUUUAUGGAAAUAUUUUCUAUAGGUUGUUGUUAAAUGCAAAAAAUAACUAGAAUGCGCUCAUUAUUUAUAGGCAAGAUUUCACAUAAAACAUAGUAUUAUACCACUCUUUACAUACACGUAAAAUGUAGUAUUAUACCACACUUUACAUAUUAAAUUUCUCUGAAACGAAACAGCUUUUUCACAUGGUAUUCAGUUUUUUCAGGAUGACAAGGAAACUCAAAAAAAUGUAGUAUUAUACCUUGCUUUACAUAUUAAAUAUUUUUGCAAGAAAAUAGCUUUUUCACAUGGUUUUCAGCUUUUACAGAACGACAAGACAACUAAAAAACGUAGUAUUAUACCGCGCUUCGCAUAUAAUUUUUUUUUUUGUUUUAGAUUGGUCUUCUUUAGUAACACCAAUAAGUUGAAUAUUUGAACAAUUCUAUGAAGAGAAUACUACAUUAUGUAAAUAAUGGCAAGAAUUCUAUUUUAAUAAUAUUUUUAUUGUAACAGAAUUUGAACAACAAUUUUAUUUUAACAUGAUAACACAAACAUAGCAAAUCUAAAAUACUCAUAACAAAAACAAAAACAGCACAACUAAUGAAAAUACUUGACAAGGGAAACAUAAAGAUACACUACUGCGCUCAACAUGUACAAGCCACUGUUUCAUCAUGACCAGCUACUACUCUCUGCUCCAACCACUUGAGUUGGUCUUCCAGAUUUUUUUUCUUCUUUCACCUCCUUGAUUUUCACCUUCAACUCCUCAAUUUGUUGGUUGGUUCGACACUCUCUUUCCCAUUGCCUCGUACACAUUAUGAAGAUCAUAAAUUCUCUCUUUGCAGUAUUUCCGCUCACAAGGUUCAUCCAUCCAUACCUUAAAUCACAUGUAGGCUCGUCGGGUUGCCAAUCAAACUUUUUCAUACACGUCCAGUAGCGGCGUCCACCUUCUUCCCACCAAUUGUACAAACUACAUUUUCUCCGCAAUAGCACCUUGGGACAUAAAGGGGUUGUUAAGACAUUUCUUAAAGAGAAACUUUAUUUUUAUGAAAAUAUUUGCUAUUAGUUAUUGUUAAGCACAGAAAAUAACUAGAAUACGUCCGUUACUUAUAGGCAAGAUUUCACGUAAAACGUAGUAUUAUACCACCCUUUACAUAAUAAAUUUCUCUGAAACAAAAUAGUUUUUCACAUGGUUUUCAGCUUUUUCAUAACGACAGACAACCCAAUAAAACGUGGUAUUGUACCGCGCUUUACAUGUUAACUUUUUCUGCAAAAAAAUAACUUUUUCACAUGGUUUUAGCUUUUUUAGA